GUAAUCCAAGGUAUUGUUCUAGAUCCUAAUUCAUAUGAUUAGAUUCAAUUGUUUACAUUAGAUCUAGUAUUGUAAGUCUUGGAUACAAUGCAUGUUCAAUUAGAGAAACCUAGAUCCAAGCAAUUAGGGUUUGCAUGUGCACAUAGGAAAGUUCUUAUGGCUCAAACCCAUCAGUUGUAUCAGAGCUUUGAUUGAUUUCUAUUGAAUUGAUGCAUUGGUUGAUUGCUUGUUGCUUNNNNNNNNNNNNNNNNNNNNNNNNNNNNNNNNNNNNNNNNNNNNNNNNNNNNNNNNNNNNNNNNNNNNNNNNNNNNNNNNNNNNNNNNNNNNNNNNNNNNNNNNNNNNNNNNNNNNNNNNNNNNNNNNNNNNNNNNNNNNNNNNNNNNNNNNNNNNNNNNNNNNNNNNNNNNNNNNNNNNNNNNNNNNNNNNNNNNNNNNNNNNNNNNNNNNNNNNNAUAUCGCUUUUAUCCCGAAGGUAAAAGGAAUGGAUAAACUUCGACUCAUAUGGCUUGUUCUACUACUUGUUGAAUCAUACACAAAUGCACGUUUUAUAACAUCGAGUUACCAACGUGUUUUCUUGCAAUCAAUGUAUAACCAAGUCAUAGUAACAACUCAUAUCUCAAGGUUUGAAGAAUAUAAGAUAUUACCGUCUCAUGAUUACUUGUGAUAAAAUCCAUGAAGUGAUUCCAAUGAGCGCGGUUUGAAUCCAAUACUCAGAACUUAUGAGCACUCAUGAGUGUUGUAGCACAACUUUGUCCACCAACUUUGUCACACCCCGGCCGUCGGCGGAAACACCGGGCAGUGUAAUGUCAUUUCUCGUAUCAUAGUUAUCAACUUCCUGAAAACACAUGCAAUUUAAAAUACGUCAACAUAAAUUUGGUGAGUUCACAGGUUUUGACUCCAUAUAAAAAUAAUACAUUUUUCCAAGUUCAAAAGUAUAGUUUUGAAAGUAUUAUUUUGAGUUUCCAACGUUUAGUAUAUAUAUCCUAGGUAUAAUGGUUUACUUACCAAAUAAGUAUAUACCUAUAAGUCUCAUAUAUUAUAAAUAUAAAUGUUUGUAAUUCCAUAAAAACUAAGUUGCUACGUAUAAAUCUUAUUUCAAUUCUAUACGAGUAAGUAGGAUAGGUAUAGUGGUCUACUUAAUAUACAAGUGAUAUACCUACUAGAUUCUUAUACUUAGAGUAUAAGUCUUUAGGAAACUUAUACUUAACAUUCAUACUUGUAUAUCGACAAAGUAUAAUGCUUCUAAAGUUGUUCUACCAUGAGUCUGUAGCCGCGACUGUAUGACUUAGUUUUAUACCUCUUAUUAUUAUUAUUACAAGGAUCACACAUUGCUGUAGUGCAAGGAUUACACCUUGUGGUAGUACAAGGAUCACACCUUGCGGUAGUACAAGGAUCACACCUUGCGGUAGUACAAGGAUUACACCUUGAGGUAGUACAAGGGUCACACCUUGCGGUAGUACAAGGAUCACACCUUGCGGUAGUACAAGGAUCACACCUUGCGGUAGUACAAGGAUUAUACAUUGCGGUAGUUUCCGCACGUUUCAUCAACGCCAGAACAAUAACAAAUAAAAGGAUAGUUCAUCACUCACUUUUGGUUGACUGUAGCUAACAGUCACGAGUGGGGUGGUCAACCCGUAUACUAUUUAUACACGACUUCCUCGCUCACACGGGAUUAACGAAUACAGGUCAGAGGACUUUCACUAAGAUCCCCAAUCUUAGAUGAUGAAUACAAUAGCUCAGGUAGACUUUGACGACGUUCUAUGGUUCUAACAACAAAAGCAUUUUCGUGUCUAAAACCCUAAGUUACUAGACUAUGAUUUUAAACAUUACUCCUAAUUUCAUAACAUUUAGGCAGUAUAACAACUAUAACUUGAAGUAAAACUAGGUUUUAUCUUGACAUAAAACCAACAAUAAUAACAUAUAACACACCAGGUUUUAUCUUGACAUAAAACCAACAAUAAUAAUAUACUUAGAAACUAAUAUAUAUAUAACUCUCGAGUAUAGCAUCGAGGCUAUAUCACACAUACUAUACAUAGAACUCCCGAGUAUAACUCAAGGUCUACAUUAGUAUAAUAACAUGCUAACAAGUUUACGAUAGUUGUAUAAUUUCAUAUACGAAAUAAGACUUAUCCCGAUUAUUAUAACUAUCUACGUUGAUACUAAUAUACUAUCAUAUAGACAUAAUAAUAACGUAUAUAUAAUAUUUAGCAUGCGUUUUCCCCCGAAAUAUUAGAAAGUGGGACCGUGAAACUCACCUUAGUAACGUGAUUUUAUGUAAUCUAGGUAGAAACGGUCAGCGUGUGAGAUUGUCGGGGCUCGGGAUGCAAGAGGGCUUCAGCAAAUGAGAGAGGAGAAAGGAAAUGUUGUAAGGAAGUGAAUGGGUCGAUCUUGUUAUUUAUAGUAAGUUUUUAUGACACUCACGUCGUGAGUGUCAUAAGACUCACAUCGUGAGUCUCAUGAUUCACUCCGUAGACUUGCCAUUUGCGUCCCUAGCUUCGGAUGGUGGCCAUGACACCUCACGUCGUGAGUGUCAUAAAGCUCACGUCGUGAAUUGGAUCUUAUCCUCUCGCAGCUUCUAGAUUCCGAAUUAUGACAGAAUGUCGUGAGCGUCAUAAAACUCACGUCGUGAAUUAGCUAGUUUAGGGUUUUUAAAAGCUAAAUCUUCGGAAUGCCAUAACUUUUGCAUACGAACUCCGUUUUUGACAUUAUUUAUAUGCAUGCGUAGGUAUUUACGAGUAAUACAACUCCCUUUUAGACUUAAAUAGCUAAUUCUAAGUCUAUUUUAAAUUCCUCUUAUUAUAGAGAUUUAUAGUGUUCGGUUUAUCAUAACUUCUUAAUGCGAAGUCGAUUUAGACGUUCUCUAUAUUUUUGGAAUCGUAUGGACAUAUACUUUGAUUUAUAUCAUAAAGGAAGUUAAUAUUUGUAUUAGAAUUUAUCAUGAACUACAUAACAUUCUUACCACAUUACUAGGUUAAUAUAAUCACAUUACAUGAUUUGCAUAAUCACAUGUGAUUAUCUAUAGACCUAUUUUGACUAGUGUUACAAACUUGGACCUCUACAAGACAACCCAUGACAGUAUUGAUUCAUAUAUACUUCCAACAUAUGACCGAAUGUUGAUGGUUUGAAUAACUUAGUCAAUCAGGAAGAACGACCUAGUUAUUCUGGAAGUCAAAACAUGCAAAAUGAAACACAAGAAUAAUUGAAUCCAAUAUGGUCUCAGAACUUAUGAAUAUAAAUAAAACACAUUUUAUUUAUCACCAUAUGAUCACACAUUAUUCAUUGUAUACUAUUUCAGCUAUCAACUUUAUUCUUGAAUUAAAACAAUUGCUGCCCCAUGCUCCAAGCAUGUACACUAUGUUUUCUAAACACUAGUCAUGCCACACACCAAGUAUGCAUACUAUGUUUGUCUAUGAUCUUUACUUUGUGAAAUAGAUAAAUUGAAUAUAACUCCAAUGAUCCUAUUUUCACAUUCCUAAAUCCUUACUGCAAAUGCAAGAAUUCCAAAUUCAUGCCAUUUACCGAAAUUUGUUAGAUUCUAAACUUAUAUGCAUUGAUCCUCUUGUAAUGAUUAUGCACAAAGUCAUAAAGACUUGACAACAAACAUUACAAAACAUUCCAAAGGAGAUCAACUCCUUGGAAACAGCCUUCUUGCAUUAAGUUUCCUAAUCUUACACAGAUUGAAUAAUUUCUAACUUUGAAACAUUUCCAUAUUCCAUUUUGACUACCACUUCUGAACACGAGUUUCCUUUUUUCAGAAUAAUUCAAUAUGGUCCUUCCACCAAUUAACACUAUACUUCCAACUGUCCUUGAGAAACCAAUCUUUGGUAAACCUUAGACUGUCCUCGACGAUUGCUUAAUCCUUUUAGUCACAUCUAAUUCUAGACCUUUUCCCUUCUUAAUGCCCCAGGCAUUUGGAAAAUUUUAGAAAGGAUGAAUAUAGCACAUGUAAUCGAUCCUAUAUCCGAAGCAUAUGGGACACGAUUCAUGAUGUCUCACAUAAAGACUAAACCAGUCUUUUGCUAUAAUAUUUCCAUUUCAAUUUGCCAAGUUCUCAUAAUUCAGAUUAUGAAAAGGGAUGUCGUAAUCAUAAUCGAAUUUUAGAACGCAAAUAAUGGACCCAUAUACAGAAUUUCCUUAUGUUGAGCCAUUCCAACAUGAAAUUCAUAUAUAUCCUUGACUAAAUGAUUAAAACCUCACGAUCUAAGCUUAUAGAUUUGAGAUGAAGUAUAAUUUCCUCUCCCUUAAUUAUAGCAAAACAACUUUUUCCCAAUUGAAACUUUUGUUUUCUAUAAUUAACAUUGCUAACUUGCAAUACUUAUCAUAAUUAUCAUGCUCCCACUAACAUGAUGAUUAUUAGCAUAACACUUAUGCUCCCACUAGCUUUGACAUGUACUCAGAAAUCAGUUGGACUUCUAGAAAUCAAUACUUUAUUGACUUUCUUACCAAAGUUCAGAUUUCUGAUACUAGAUUGCUUUGAUAAAACUUUAUCAAUAUCAUACACCUUAUCUUAGAUAGCUCACAUGUGUGUUUAAACAAUUUUAAGAACUAUGAAAAGGGAUGUCAUAAUCAUAGUCUUGAUUGUUUAUACCUUUUCCACUUCUCACUAGUCCAUGUUAGUGUGUCGGUUAACCACACAUGCUCCACUAACAACUUUGAGAAUGCAAAUAUUACAAUUGCUAUCUAGCUAAAAUCUACUUAGUGAAAAUGUUUCCUCACCAUCAUUUUCAUGAAUCGGAGAGAAACCUUAUGACACUUAGAUUUAAUGGUGUAUGUGUUCUUAUCCAUGUGAAUUGUCAAAACCAUAAUCACAAGACAUGGUUAGUGACAAAUCCAAACUCUUAUGGAUUGAACUUGUGUCAUCUUAACUUCUUGCCAUUUGGCAGCUCAAGGGCCUGACAUUGCUUCCAAGUUGUUGUACAACCAAUUGAGAACUCUAAGAACUCAUAUGCAAAUCCAACUUUAAUUAGAAUAGGCAACGAAUAUGUCAACACGAUAGGUUAUAAACCUCAAGUCGUGUGCUAGUGAAGAGACUUCAGGUUUUUAUUCUUGAUUAGUUCUUGAGACUUUCGAGACCUUUAAGACUCCCACUGUCCUCUUGACAUAUAAGACUCUCUUUUCAAAUAUUCAAAAUAUAGUGCGGAUUCUUUAUCAAGAUAAACACUUCACACAAUUGGCCUUAGUUGGUCUUUGUUUUAUCCAAAACAUCACAACUUACCAAUUUCAAAUGUACAAGAGUAGAAAACUUUUACUCUUACAUUUGACAAGUGUUUUAAACCUUCUUUAAGACAUGUCACUCAACUUACAGUAUUGGAGUAUGACUCUAAGACUUGUUUUGGAACCAAGUAUGACUCAUCUUCUUGAUUUGACCACUUCAACAAUUCAUAGCUCCUCUUCUUAUCUAUCAGAAUGCACUUAGAGGAUGAAUUGUGAUAAGGUAUCUUCAUCAUUAAGAUGAUCAUAUAACAUAAUACUAAAGUACUCUCCUAUCUUUUCAGAUUUAAGAAACUUUUAUCUUUCUACCUAAGUUGAUUCUUCUUAUUCGCUCUGCCAUACAUUGUAAUUUUUCUAAUGUAUCAGAAUUACACUUAAACCUGUAAGUAUAACCAUAUUUACUAAACUUUAGUAAAUCAUGAUGAAUAGCCUUAUCGAUAUUUUGUGGUGGACUUAACCAGUGCACAAGAAUGUGUACUCGAUCCCUUAGUCCUUUACUUGACUCACACAUCCAUGUGAACAAGUAAUUAGUCUUAAUUUUCCAAUGCUUGAAAGUUCUCAUUCAUCAUGCUAUACAACUGGCAUGAUUCCAAGUUUCUAUCCAACUGAAACUUGGGUGAUGAGAAUCUUUUCUUAUUUGGUAAAUUUAGACACUACCACAAAUGAAAGAAUCAAAUUCAUAUUUCCACUCUUGCUCUUAAUGGAAUCUUAUAAGCAACAAAAAUUUUCACAAGUGCCAUUGUAAGGAUAUUUUAAAAUAAAUAAAAUCAAAAUUUUUUCAUUUUAUUUUAAAAAUUGUGGAAAAACUAUCCUUACAGUGCAAAAGCACAUGAAAACUUUGUUGUUAUCUAUUCCUAAGCAAUAUAUCAUAACUCCUAAGAAGUAGCUCAAGAAUCCGAUCUUCAAACUAUGAGAUAGAAAUCCAUCUACGCGAUCAGAUUCAACAUAUUCUUUUUUUAAGUUUCUUUACUUUUUCUUUGAUUCUUAAAACAUCAACAUGUGACCCAGUCACAUAAUGUAUCAAGAAUCUCAUAGUAGAAACUUAGCAGAGUUAGAUAGUGGACUUUACCUGAAGUAGAGUCAAACUUAUUGACUUUAACAUCCUUAGGUAAAAUUGACAGCUUCGCAACUAAUGCCCCUUCCUUUGGCAAUGGACCCUUGAUAAUGGGACUAUCUUAGACUUAGCCUCUCUCUUUACCAUUUGGUCAACCAAGUUGACUAUGGAUGAUCCCUUUCCAUUGGGAAGAGAGAGCUUUACUGGAUAUCCAAUGUCACAUUGUCAAUGUCCAUUGAAAGUUUGGGAAGUUGAUCUUCCAAUCACAUUUGCUUUACCAGUGUUCCAAAUCAUUACUGAUUUAGCAAUACCAAGCAAAUAGAUAAGAUCAUUAAGAGUCUUGUCAUAGUCUGUUUCAUAGGAGUCCCAAAGGAACUCACUAUGUGACUUAGAAAGUGAUUGAGCCACCAACUUUCUCAAGACUUUGACACCUAACUCUCUCGGCUUGUCAAUAUGUGACUUCAUCUCCAACAUGUGAUCACACUUAGACCUUGCCUUUCCAAUAGGGCUUGAGUGACCUUAAACUUUUCUAGAACUUGUGGGUUAGGGAGAAUAAUUGGAGGAGGUGAAAUAAGUAUGAUUUCCAUGGGACAUCGUCUUCAUUUAGGAAAAUUUGUUUCAAGAGAUUUGGGAAGAUCACAGAUGUCUAAACCAUACAUCUUUUGGGAGAUAUUCAAGAUAGUUGAUUUAAAGUCCUUAAUAUAACACCCAAUAUGAAAUAUUAAGGCUAGGACCCAACACAAUACUUUUAUAAAUUGGAAGAGGGAUGUCGUAAUCCAAGCUAUAAAAUAUUUGAAGGUAGGUGAAUCACGAUUCACCAAUUUCCACCAAGAUAAACAACAUGUAUUAUUAGGUUUUAAUUGGUUUUUCAAACUCCUAGAUUCUUUUGAGAUUCAUUGAACUGUUCAAUAACAUGUUUCAAUCUCGAAUGUGCCCUUCAGGUUUUGUGACUGAGAUGCCGAGGAUCACAAAACAAGGUGUGAAUAACCACGCAAAUAUACUUGGUACCCUUAAGUGUUUACCCCUCAAGCGAUGUGCCGGUUAACCACACACGCUCCAUCGAUACUAUGAUAAAUAUUAAGUCACCCUUUACCUACCUUGUUAAAUACAAGUUAGUGUGCCGGUUAACCACACACGCUCCACUAACGACUUAGACAAAGUGUAAAGUGUAAUUUCAUGGAUUAGCACCUUAUUCACAUUUUCCCUAAGUAACUAAGAUUGGGUAUUAUUAAGAGUUUAGUUACUUAGUAUUUUCAUUAAUACUUUUAAUGAAGGGAGAAUUCUAGUCCUGUCAAACCCGUUCGGCUAACGACCCUCCACCAGUCAAGCAAGCGGUGGGUGAGAGUGGACACCCAUUAAGUUGCCAUUUUAUAGGCAACAGCCUUAUACCCACCUUAUAGUCCGGCUUCGUGAAUGAGGCGUACUAGCGGUAAGACUGACUUUACUCUUAUACAUAUAUAUAUUAUUAACUUAUAAUAUUAUAAAGCAUAAGGGUUUAAUUUAAACUUUUAAAAUUCUAAGGGCUAACCUGGAAUUAAAGUAUUCAUAAGAGAAAACUUUUCAAAUUACAAAACUUGAGAGCAAGUUUUGAAAAUAUUCAAAACUAAUUAAUUCCAUAACUUAUGUGAUUAAAUUAGUUUUAAUUAAAAAACUCUUCAAGUUCCAUAACUUGAGGACAAAUUAUGGAAGACUUUAAACUAAUAAAAGAAUGUAACUUUUCUUUAUUUUGUCACUUGUUGGUUUCCAUGUUCGUUCCUUUGGCUGAAGUUGCCAAUGUUGUUCCCACCUCCAUUAGGGUUGUUUGCAUUGAUUUGUGUCAUCGCAGCGGUUACUGCUACCGUUACAGCAGCUUGGAAAGUAGCAGAGUCCAUCUGCAGGAGUGGUGCCUCGCGGGUGCGCUUGUUAUUCUUGCGGGGCAGCAUUUUCCUGAUGCAUGUUGAUAAGCUACAUCGUAAUUAUAGUCAUUCCUGGUUGUACUCUAGAAAUUUUGCAUCUUGUUAUAUAAUUCUUACUGCUCCCAUAUACAUCCCUAUGAUGUAUUUAUAGUAGUAGGUAAUCACAUAUUUGGCACGAUCGUUACGUCUACCCCAGAGGAUAUGGAUUGUUUCGGUUUCGAGAUCCUUAAGUACCAUCUUAGUACACGAAAGAGAGUCAUAUCGGAUAGUGAGGGGGAAAAGAAAAGGUUGAUCCUAAUUGUGGCGGUAAGUGUCUGGUGGUGGUGCUGAUGAAGUGGGUGCACUUCGAAGAUGAGCUACUUGUUAUCCGGUAUCUCAUAGUUGUACUUCCCAAACUAAUUGUCUCGCUCGAGAGUCUCCAUUCACUUCCUAUGUCUGCCCCUCAUCUUUCUCAAUAGCAAACCACAUUUGUUCCGUUCGAUUAGUGGUGUCCUGAGCUUGGUUAUCAAUACCUCGGGUGCGUCGGACCAUGACUGGGAGGGCCCGGUCAGCUGGUCCUCUAUGGCUAAUGGUCGGAGAGACCUCGGUUCCUACCCUAGUGUGGUCGUAUCCCCUGCUGGUGACUCUAUCUCCAAAUAUCAUGUGCCUAAGGGGGGCAUGGGGCCACCAGGGCCCACACGAUAUGUCGAUACUCUGACUUUACAUGGAGGAUUGAUGUCAUUGGAUUCUACAUCUGAGUCAUCAUCAUCAUUGCCCUCUGGCUCUUCCUCUUCAAGGUUCACUUAUUGACUUGGCGGGUUCACCUGCGAGUUCUACUUCGUGUUCCUCCUGUGGUUCUUCCUCUGGGUCGAGCCACCCUACUAUUCUUUGACUAGGGAGAUAAGGUUUCCUGACUAAUGAUACUCGUCUAUAGCGUAUUGCACGAAGGGCUAUGAAUACUAGAAACAAAUAGCAUACCAAUUACUCCUAUAACUCUACGACUAUUGCAUAGAUUUAGUUGAGGUUCCCUUCUUGGAGAUUAAGAGGUAUGUUUUUAGAUUCCCUAGCUAUCACGAUUUAUUCAAGACAUGUGAUGGUCGUACUUUGGAGGGAAUGUAGUUGAUCAGGCUACAUCCACUCCUUGAUACAACUAAAAACAGUCUUGGAUCAACCGAGAUACUAGCAUUAUCUUGUUCGAUUCGGUGUUAGGUUCUCGUUCCUAAUACAAGCAAGGGUGUUUUAUUGUUAUGUUUACUUAUUUUGUUCAGAGUCUGGUUAGUCCCUCUUCUGGUUUAUAGUUGCAUAUCAAUGUGUGGUUAGAUAUGCCAGUUCACUAUAAACAGAGCUCUGAUACCAACCUGUCACACCCCCGAACCAGACGGCGGAAACGUCCGAGGGCUGUUGUGACUCAAUUGAAUACCAUCACAGUGAAUAUACAUGAAACAUAACAUCAUUCAUCACCAUGCAUUGAAAUAUUACAACCGGUAGUGUUUACAUUUAGUACAUUGUUUCAAAACAUUACAUUCCCAAAAAGUAAAUUGUUCGAUACUAGUUAAACAAACAACAAGACAUCACUGAGUACAUUUUUCCUUCGAUUUACUUGUUACCUGAGAAUACAAGUAUUUUGAAAAACGUCAACAUAUAAAAUGUUGGUGAGUUCAUAAGUAAUGUUUGAAACACAGUGUUGGUAUUAUUUUGAAAAACCACUAGAAAAUCCGAUAUUUUCUGAAAAGAUUGUUGCAAGUAAGAAAAAGUGUGAAGAUCCGUAAGUAUGCUUGUUUAUUUCUACAAGCGUGAAAAAUUGUUUGACUUGGUAUGCAUCACGUAGGUGUAAGUGUUGAAAUCUCUAGGAAAACCCGAUGUUUUCCUAAUACUUUAAAUUACGCGUUUUAUUUAUUGUUAUACCGUUGCGACAUGUGUAUUCGAUAAUUCCAGGNGUACUAUUCACUUAAUCCAACCACCCUAACUUCUCAUAGCCCCACAACCGAGGAGAAAAGAGGGUGCGAAGCCCCCGCUAUUUCCAUAAGUCGUUCAAGGCUAUCGUGAAUGCGAAAGGCCCUUGGCCCGACUCGCAUUGGUGAAUUCUCGACUUUGCUAGCAGUACCAAAAGACCCUUGGGGCCCAACAGCACAAAAGCCAGUGAAAGUCCUUUUACAUGGAAUUAGGUCAUAUAAGACCCAACAACAUGUAAGCGAGUUUCCUUCGGGCCUAAAGAUCAUGUCAUUGGGCUAGCUAGGCCCAACAAGCACGAUUUGAAACUUUCGGGCCCAAAGAUGGUGUAUCGACGUCUGGUGAAUUCCCGCGUGUGUAUUGACUUCCCGUAAUUUCAGCGUGUGUAUUGUAGUAUCGUCGUGUAUAGAUUUUUGAUUCAUUAUUGAUUCGAGACCGAAUCAAUUCGUUUGGUAACGAUUUUUGGUGUUGAAGGUGUAUUAUGUUUCAUCGGUAGUCGUGGUACUAGUAUUUCAUCAUAACGGAUUUGUUGUUUAAAACAUUAGAAUUUUUACUCUUUGCAGCCCCUUUCUUUUGGAUAAAUUUACACUUUUGACCCUUUGUAUAAAAGAAUUUCCAUUUUAGUCCUUAAACCAUUUUUCUUUACACUUUAGUAUCAAAACUUGUUGAAAAGGUAUUUUUCAGCUCAAAUUUAUUUGAAAAACAGCUUUAGUCCCUCAGAAUGAAGUUUUCUCGGCUGAAACCUCUAUUUUCGCAAUUUUUACACUUUUGGCCCAAAAUAGAAUUUUUUUGCAUCUUUGGUCCCUUUUAAAUAUGAAAAGUAUUUUUAACCCUUGAAAUGGACUUGGAGCACUAGUAGUCCCCUGUUUUACAGAAAAGUACCGUUUCAGUCCCUCUAAUUUGAAAAUCUCGCAAUUUGGGCUUUAUUGGGCCGAAAAAUUCAUUUUUGGCCCAUUAUGCUUAAAAAUUCACAUUUUAAUCCUUCAAAAGAGUAAAUUUCCAGAAAAUACAUUUUUGAAACUGUUUUGACUCAUUUCAACCAUCAGAAUUUGCAUUUUGUCAUUUUGGGCCCUUUGAAUUUAUAUUUUCAACAUUUUGAGCCCAAAAAUGGGUUUUAAGCCCAAAGAUGUUCAUAUUAACCAACUUGGUUAUUUUUCUAGGAAUGAUUUGUAUGAAAUAAUAUAAUUUGUAAUUGUUUCAUACAACUUAACGUAGAUCUCGGUUUUAAGGUCUUUUUGACUAGAUCCAACACCACAACCACAUAAGAAUAUAUAUACAAGCAUAAAAAUCACACAAAGCAUACAUAUACUCAUAGAUCUACACAUUUGCUUGUAUUCCCCCCCCCCCCACAAAACUUAGAAAAACCGAAAAAUAGGGGGUAUGAAGCUCACCUUGAGGUUUGGUUCGAUUUUGAUGAAGAUAUAUGAGAAGAUGAUGUUGUUUUUGGCUUAGCUUUCUUCCUUCAAAAUAUCUUGAUGAUGUGGAUGGUUCUAAGAACAUAAUCCACAAAUAUAUGGAUGUAAGAGGAGAUCUUUGAAGAGAUCAAGAAAUUAUAUCAUAGAUCUAAGUGGGAACUUACCAAAGUUGAUGAUCUUGAAUAAGAAUUUCUUGAAGUAUCCUCUAAUUCUCGAAAAUUUAGAGGAAAGUGUAGGAGUGUUCUUGUGAGAUUUCCUUAAGAGAUUUCUAAGUAAAAUAAGUGUGUUGGUGAUUUUUGGGCCCUAUGGCCGAGAUUAAGAAGAGAUAGGNAUUUUUGGGCCCUAUGGCCGAGAUUAAGAAGGAGAGAGGGGAAAAGAGAAGAGAGGUUUGAAGUGAUAGAAGUCUUGAUGCAUGAGAUUAGUUUUUGCAUGGAGGGUAUUUAGCAUGGGAACCCUACAUGUAAAAAUGAUGUGUCGCCAUGCAAUUUACCCUAUUUUUUUUAACCUUGGGCCGAAAAUGGCUCUAAUGGGAUGAAGAAAAAUGGUUUUGGGCUCAAUGUCUUGGCUUUGAUCGAACUUCAUAGCCCCAAUAUUAUUUUUCGGCCCAUUGUGCUUAAGGACGAUUCACGACCCCUUUUGAAUAAAAGAAAUGGAGUUUAUGGCCCAACAAGGCCUAUUAGAGAUAAAAAUGAAUUAUUUUAGGCCCACAUGGCCCAAAACAAUCUAGUUUCAUGACUGUGGGUCCAAGUAGAGCCCAAACAGUCGAUUUGAAAGUUUAUUGGUCCAUUAGGCCCAAUAAGAGAAUCCUAAUCCAUAAUGAAUUUGAGCCGAAAUUUCUAGGGUUUCCAACCCUUAGUUGAACAUAUGAGAUGUAUGUGAAUGAGAAUAGAUUAUAGUAAGUAUAGCCUUUUUCAAUGGAUGAUGUUUACAUGGGAAUCGAAUUUCCUAGCAAAUGCUAGUUGUGACACCUCAAAUGGUUCACACAACACCAAAUACACUUGGAAUAGAUUAGAGAGAAAUCCACACUUCAUGAAAAUUGGCUAGCCCUUUCACAUAUAUUCUAGUGCCGAUUUUGUCAACAAUAAGAUGCUUAUAUAGUUAGUGACAAUUAGGGUAAACCCUAAUUGUCAUGGCUUUCCAUUUCCUUGGAUCUAUGGAUUCAAAUACACCAUGGAGAAUCCAUGGAGCAUCUUAUGGGUUUUAGCCCAACUUGACAAUCCAUAAAGCAUUAGCCCAUUAUACAAGUAUGGAUAAUUUAUACAAUCAACCGAAAUAUUUAAUUAGUCUUCUUUUGAUCACUUAAUUAAUCCUAGAUUAAUUCUUGAUCAAUACUAAUUAAAUAAUCUUAUUAAUAUAUUAAAACUUCUAAUAUAUUAACAAACCUUAAGUGUUAUUUCUCUCAUUUUAGUCUAUCCAAAUGCAUGAUGUCAUGCAACCCAAAUGGACCAUGCUGGGUCGGGUCAAGUCUUACCAAUUAUAGUUAUUGACUUAGACAUUAAUCCAACAAUCCAGUCUGGGGGCAGUUUUGAUGCAACGUGGUUGUGUGAUUGCUUACGCUUUGAGGCAGCUGAAGCCUCAUGAUGCGAAUUAUUCGACACAUGAUUUGGAGCUGGGAGUCGUGGUAUCACACUCAAGAUUUAGCGGCAUUACCUCUAUGGGGUUCAUUGUACCAUCUACACGGACCACAAUAGCUUGAGGUAUCUAAUGGAUCAGCCGAAUCUGAACAUGAGGCAACAUCGUUGGUUAGAUGCGGUGAAAGAUUAUGAUUGUGAGAUCCUUUAUCACCCAGGGAAGUCCAAUGUGGUGGUCGAUGCUCUUAGUCACAAGGCAAUCGCGGCUCCAAUAAGAGAUAUAUGUUUGAGGAUGACCGUGAUUACUCAAUUAUUGGAGCGGAUUCAUGAGGCUCAUGCAGGGUAUAUGAAGGAAGAGCAUCGAAAGAGUGAACGCAUUGUAGGUUAGGUGGCUUCCUUCGAUUAUGGUAGCCAUGGAUUGCUGACUCUGCAUCGGCGAGUAUGGGUACCUUAUUGGGGUGGUUUGUGUCAGGUUCUUAUGAAGGAGGCAGGCACACGAGUCGAGGUUCUCCAUUCAUCCCGGGGCGACAAAGAUGUAUAGGGAUCUUCGUCCUAACUAUUGGUGGCCCUGCAUGAAGCGGUAUGUGGAAUGGUAUGUUGAGCGAUGCCUGACUUGCAGGAAAGUCAAUGUUGAGCAUCAGCGUCCUCACGGCAAGAUGCAGCCGUUGGAGCAUAUGGAAAUGGAAGACAUAACUGUGGACUUUAUUAUGAAGCUUCCCAGGACUGCGCGCAUAGUGGAUUCUAUCUGGGUCAUCGUGGAUCAUUUGACUAAGAUGACAUAUUUCAUUAUGAUCCAGGAGAGUAUUUAUAUAGAGAAGUUGGCCGAGAUUUAUGUCCGGGAGGUAGUGGCACGUCAUAGGGUGCCGAUAUCAAUGGUUUCAGACAUGGAUGUUCAUUUUACUUCCAGAUUUUGGAAGCGGUUUCAUGACAAGAUAGACACUCGUCUCCUUUUUAGUAUAACAUUUCAUUCAUAGACCAAUGGUCAAAGUGAGCGGACUAUUUAGACUCUUGAGGAUAUGUUGCAUGCGUGCGUGUUGGAUUUUGGUGGGAGUUAGGAUACGCAUCUUCCAUUAGCGGAGUUUUCGUAUAACAACAGUUAUCACGCCAGCAUCGAUCGACCUUCUUUUGAGAUGCUCUACGGGAGGAAAUGCAGUACCCCGAUUUGUUGGGGCGAGGUCGGUCAGCGAGUUAUGGGGAGUACCGAGGUGGUGCUCAAGACCACUAAGUUGAUUAAGCAGGUUCGAAGCAGGCUCCAGACAGCUGGGAGUCGGCAGAAGAGUUAUGUCGACAGGCAUCGAUCAGACUUAGAGUUAUAGAUGGGAUAUAUGGUUCUCCUGAAGGUGUCACCUUGGAGAGGUGUUAUCCCGUUCAGGAAGCGGGGCAAGCUGGGCCCCAAGUAUAUUGGUCCCUUAAGAGUUUUAGCUCGAGUGGGCCGAGUUGCGUAUUGUUUAGAUCUUUCAGCCGAGCUCAGUUUGAUUCAUAACACAUUUCAUGUCACUCAGUUGCAUAAGUGUUUAGUGGAUGACUUUGCAGUUGUACCUUUGGAGAAUAUUCAGGUGGAUGACCGUCUGAAUUAUAUUGAGAGACCGGUGGCAAUUUUAGAUCGAAAGAUGAAAACCUUGAGGAACAAGAUUAUGGAGUUUGUAAAGGUGCAGUAGUUGUACCACAAAGGGUCAGAGUGGACUUGGGAACCCGAGGAGGAGAUGAGGGAACAUUAUCCAGAGUUGUUCGAGACGGCGGACUUCAAGGAUGAAGUCUGAUUCAAGUGGGGGAGAAUUGUAAUGCUUGAUAAUUUCCAAGGUAUUUAUUUAAUUUGGAUUUAUUUAAUUGUUAUGAGUUGGGCCUUGAAUCAUUGGAUUUUUCUUAUUGGGCUUAGGGUGUUAAGUACGCAGGGUGUACCACCCUAUGUAUGCAAGGCGUACUGAUGUAGAAUGAUCGCGGGUGCCAUGCAUGUACACGCUGCGUACAAAGGAGUACGCACAACGUAUGUAUCUAGUCCCUAAAACCAUACUAUUUAGGGUUUUAGCACUAUUUAAAGAACAUUAUAACUUAAGGAUCUUCUUUAUCAGCCUCCAACUUGCCCCUAAAUAGCCUCCACAAAACCCUAGCCCAAUUGUUGAGUGAUAUUGAGCUUGGAAGGUCUUUUGAGUGCGUUUUGGUGUGUUUUGUCCCAUUUUCAAGGAAGAUAAGGUUGGAGCAAGGUGGUGGUUCAAGGAGAAUUUUAUAGAUCUGGAUUAUCUGCCGCAUUUCAAGCUUGUGCAAGGUAUAAAUCUUGAUCUUGAUCUUUAGAAGCUUAGAUCUCCAUGUUUUAGCUUUUGGACCCUUUUUGGUCCCAUAAAUAAGCUCUUGUGGAUUGUUUUCGUUUCUGAAGCUUAGAGUUGCUAGUCUUGGUGUUCUUUGGGUCCUAGAGGCAUAAAGUUGCCACCUUUGAAGCUUUAAUCCAACCAUGUUUGAGUAAUUGCCAUUUUUGUGGAAGUAGAAUGUUAUAUUUCAAGUUUGGGCUCAUUUGGGGCAUGCAAAGCCACCAAUUUGAUGACUUUAUGGGUUAAGACGUUGCAAAUGACUCAGAUUUGUGAUUGUAACUCUUGGACUUAAGUGGUUAAGAGAUUUUUGGAGAAAUGGCUUAUUGGGUGAGUAUGUUGGGCGUAUAAUUGGGGUGGAAAAUCGGACCAUCGUGUCGUGUUUUUGUCCGACACGACAUGACACGACAAAAUUUUAUGUAACACAAACACGACACGACACGAUCUCGUAUUUUUUUUAACUAACACGAAAACGAACCGGUUAAAAAACGACAAACAUGACACGACACGACAAAGAUAACAUGAAAUAACAAUUAAUGUAUUUAAUUAAUGUGUAUUUAUACAUAACACGACAAACACAAAAAACACGACAAAAAAUGUUAAAUCGUGUCAAUUUCAUGUCAAAUUUUGAACACGAACACAACACGACACGACUUCGUGUUUUUUACACUUGACACGAACACGAAUUCGAAUUUCAAUUUCGUCUCAAUUUCGUUUCGUGUCGUGUAUUUUUGUCGUGUCGUGUCAUCAAUCGUCACCCCUAGCGUACAGGCUCGUACAUGCAGCAUACAAGCCAUGCAGCGUGUAUGCUUGGUGUACAGCCGAGUACGCCUCGCGUACUCAGGCAGUUGGGCUUGGCGUUGUUUGGGCAUCGAGUUUGGCCAUUUUCUUGGACCUUGUUGCUUUGGGCCUUUUGGGCCAUCUGGAAUUAAUAUUUUGGAUUAAGGAAUUUUAGUGGGCCUUAGGCCAAGGGCCAUUUGGGGGUUUGAGCCCAAUUUGGAAAAUUGGGCCAUAAGUGGGCCUUUGUGGAUCUUUUGGUUUUGGGCCUUAUUGGUUUAUGGUUUUAGGCCUUAGUUUUGGAUCAAGCUAGGCCAGGGGUAAUAUGGUCAUUUUACCCCAAGUAUGGAUUAUUGAUUAUAGUUUGGAACCUAAGUGUUGAUUAGGUGGUAUUUUGUACUAAUAGCUCGGGGAGUCGUCAUGGUAGCAACUGGGGAUUUAUUUCUGUGAGAUUCAACAUUUGAGGUGAGUUUCCUCAAUGGGUUUAGCGGGUCUAAGGCACCAAUGCUGACCCUUAUUAAUUAUGUUAGGAUGCUAAGAGUUUGUGUGACCCUUGCAUGCGUUAUGUGUUGUUGUAUGUAUACCGGGCGAGGCUCGAUGCUAAGCAUGACAUGAGGAUUGGAACAUAUGCUAGUGUUAUGAUCAUUAUAUGUGUUAGCAUGAUUAUGUAAUAUUGAUUGUAUGUGUAUAAAGGGCGAGACCCAGUGACAUGCGAGGCAUGAGAAUAACAUAUUUGUAUACCGAGCGGGGCCCGAUGCCGGGCGGGGGCCCAAUGCAUGAUUUAUUAUGUAUGGUAUGGGGUAGUUUGGGGAACUCACUAAGCUUUGUGCUUACAGUUUUCAAAUUAUGUUUAGGGUACUUCCAGUGGCAAUGAGAAGAACUCGGGGUGACUGCAUUGCACAUACCAUAUGGAUUCUGUUUAUUGGGCACGCUCUAAUUUUUCCUGAUAUCUGACAUACUUAUUUUAUUUGGGUUGUAUGAACUAUGAUUGGAAAUACUGUUUUCACUUGAAUGAAAAAUGAAAAUUUUAGGUCGUAUUUUUGGGUUGUUACAUUGUUUGUUUUUUUGUCGGUCUUGAAUAUCAACGACUCUAUGUAAGUAAUCUGUUGUCCCUGGUUGAAGUUGAAUGUGUCCAGGUUCCGUAGGCGAAUAGUCUACAAUGUUUCGUCAUUUAUUUUCAAUCACCAUGUUAUGCAGAAUGAUACAUGCAUACAUAAUAUCUCGUAGAGUGUCCAACUCGUAUGGUCGUUCCGCAUGUUCAACUAUGUGACAUUUUGCUUUCAGAACUCUGAAAGUACGUUCCACGUCCUUACGUGCUCCUUAUUGUCUUCUCUUGAAAAAUUUGUUUAUCGGUUAUAUCUGGUGUCGAAACGCCAUCACAAACGUGGAAUAUGGUGGGUAUAUUCCAUCCGUGAGGUAAUACCCGAACUUAUACUCAUCGUCAUUUACUGUGAAAGGAGCAUCUGGUGCCUUUCCUGUCAAAAGGUCCUGAAAUAUUGGUGACUAAUGAAGAACGUUUACGUCGUUGUUAGAACCCGCAACUCCAAAAAAAGCAUGCCAAAUCCAUAAGUCUUGUGACGCAACAACCUCUAAUACUAACGAAGACGAUCCAAGAUGAUCACUUGUGUAUUGACCUUUCUAUGCCACAUGACAAUUUCUCCAUAUCGACUUUGUGCAAUCAAUGCUUCCAAGCAUUCCCGAAAAACUAUGUCGUUCUUCUUGCGCCGCAUAUAGUUAUUGCAUGUCAUUCAAUGAACGUUUGCGCAAGUAUUUGUCACUGAAGGUUUUGAUAACACCUCUCGCCAAUCUAUACAAACUUUCUCAUGCAGUUCACUCUGACAAUCUAUAAUAAUAUAAACAUAUAUUUAAUUUUUAAAACAACUGUAAUUACGGUACUUGCUUUCCAUUGCAUUGACUAUUCGUUGAAACACAUUUUUCCGCAAACGAAACCUUCUUUUAAAAUCGCUAGGUUGGUAGACACAAUUAUCCGCAAAAUAAUCGUGUACUAGACGUCUAUUCCCUUUGAUGCGUGCAAAUUAUACCUACCUAGCUACACCUAAUUUUAUAUUUAUAACCUAACUAACUUAACUAACUAAAUUGCACCUAGGCACUGUACUUAGUCAAAUUAUAGAAUAGUCGGGUAAGUCGGGUGUCGAUCAUAGGGAAGGGUUUUAACUAAUUAAUCUACCUACUAUUAAAUUAACCUAAUUUCUAAUAAAGUGGGGGGGUUUUUUUUAUCUAAUUUUGCAAGUUUAGAUGAACUUAAUUCGUAACACAAAAUUCAAUCAAUUAACAAACACUUAUGUUAGUUCAAAUCCACUUCCCCUCAAUGGUUUAUAAAUUAGUUAUGACAAUUACUGUUGGUUACCAAUUAAGAUAGUAUUAGCAAUUCAGUUCUAAAUUUACUAACAUUGAUUAAUUAAUGUAAAUCUAUGCAUUGUCACACAAUAGUUAACUUAAAAUCAAUUAUUAAAUGAAAUUGGAGCCAUGUAAGAUUGAUUUGAAAAACACACUUAUGGUCAUAAUAUGAGUUCUCUAGCACAUCCUAAUUCAAUAGUUCAAUUAUUUUUCUAAGAUUUGUUUGAUCUUAGCUCUAAUAAACUAGUGUUCACUGAAUUAUUAAGUAUUCAAAUUCAUGCAUAUUCAUAUUCACUAACUACACAUAAUAAGAAUUUAAAGCAAUCAAAUAUUAAAUCAAACAUGCUAGGUUCAAUCAAUCAAACACAAGUCAUAACCAAAAAGUAAAUCAAAACUAAAGUAUUGAAACCAUGAGUUCCAGCUUCAUCUAGCUAACAGAAGCAGCUAGAUUUAGCUGGACAUACUAGCAAACAAACAUAAACAAAUCAUAUUCAAAGACAUAUUUAAAUGUACCAAACUAUUAAGCUAAUAAUGAACUUCUCCUUCUUCCUUGGUGUUGAAAGCCAAUUCCAAACGUUUUCUCCCUCUGGAUUUUGUCUCCAGGAACCCUCCAAGUUGUCCAAAAGUCCCUCAAAGUCGUAAUGAUCAAGAGAAUAUAUAGUUAUCAUAAAAUUCACUCUCACGUCGUGAAUGAGUAUGACUCACGACGUGAAUGCAGUAGAUAUCUGUGUUCUACAAGGAUUCCUCCUCCGCGAUGCUUAUCUUCUGGAAUAGUUCCAUUCACGUCGUGAAUAGUUAUGACUCACGACGUGAAGUUAGCAGAUUACAGGGAUUUCCUCUUCUUUCAUUCUCCAAGCCUCCAAAGUUCCAUGCUUUGUCAAUUUCAGUCAUUUUCUCCCAAAAUACUUCAAUUUGGCUGCAAAGUACAAUUAAAGCUUAUAAGCAUCAUUAUUUAAUGCAAAUAACCAAAAUAUUAAUAAAAAUGUAAGUAAAUAUUGCCCAAAAACAUGUAUAAAUAUGGCAGUAUCACCCUUCUUCACGAUCUCUGUUCAACGCCGCACGUCUGGUCAGUAGUGGAGCUGGCUUUGGCGGUAACAUGUAUGUAACAUAUCGAUACAUCAUACCCACGAACAUAUCAUUCUCGUCGAUAUCAUGAUUAUAUGGAUGAAACGGGUCAAAAGGUUCCAUUUUUUUUUUGUAAAUAGAAAUAUAGAAAAUAUAUUAAACUUGAUAGAAAUGUGUAUUAGAGAGAAUUAGAUAAAUUUUCUAUGUAAAGAUAAGUUAGAAUGUGUGUGUGUGUGUAUAUAUAUAUAUAUAUAUUAAAGUAAUUUUUUUUAUUAUUCGUGACCGUUCCACAUCGGUCAGAAAGUAGACCGUUUAUCCCGUUUCGUCCCGUUAUCACCCACACACCGAAUAUCGUAACGCCAAAAAAACGUGUACCUGGAGGCGGUGUUUGCACCGUUAUACCAACAUUUUUUGAUGUACACGUCGGAUUAACGGGCACUUCGGUUGCCCAUUCCGAGUAGUCUAAAUGUCAAAAUGCAAUGAAGAAAAAGAUUCAUUACAAAUGUCAAUUAUAAGUAUGUAGAAGGAUAAAAUAUAAAAAAGUUAUUAUCUUUUGGGAUAUACACAGUAAAGUCCCAAUAUUUUCAUCGAUUUGACAAGAAAAUCCUGAACUUUAUUUUUUUGACAGUAAAGUCCAAAUUACCGGCAGUUUUUGACACUUUUACAUUUUUUUCCCGAUUAGCCGGUAAUUAGGACUUUUUUGUCAACAAAAUAAAGUUUAGGACUUUCUUGUCAAAUCGUCAAUUAGGACUUUACUGUUAAAAAAAAAAAUAAAGUUUAGGACUUUUUUUGUCAAAUCGUUGAAAAAAUUGAGACUUUAGUGUAUAUAUAAUUUUUUUGGUUAGAAACUUAAUGAUAUGAUACUCUUUACGCAUAAGAGUUAUUGAAACAUUCUCUAAUCAGCUAGAUCAUAUUGAAAUCCUUUACGUUUGCUUCUUGUUAAAUCGUUAUUUUAAUCUCAACAAACUGACAUUGAAAAAAAUUGAGAUAAUCAAGAAAGAAAGAAAGAACCAGGGUUGUGUUGGCUUUUUGCAGUCUCAAAAAUGGAGAAAUUAGAAACCUACAAAAACGAAAAUGCCCUGACUUUUUACAAAUACAAACAACACGUGCCUAGUCAAAAUGGUGUGAAUGUGGAGAAGGGAAAGAAGGACAAUUUCGUUUUUUUCGGUUUCUUAUUUCUCCAUUUUUGGGGUUGCAAAAAGCCAACACAACCCUGGUUCUUUCUUUCUUUCUUGAUUAUCUCAAUUUUUUUCAAUGUCAGUUUGUUGAGAUUAAAAAAACGAUUUAACAAGAAGCAAACAUUAAUGAUUUCAAUAGAAUCUAGCAUAUUAGAGAAUGUUUCAAUAACUCUUAUGCUUAAAGAGUAUCAUACCAUUAAAUUUCUAACCAAAAAAAUUAUAUAUACACUAAAGUCCCAAUAUUUUCAACGAUUUGACAAAAAAAGUCAUAAACUUUAUUUUUUUUGACAGUAAAAUCCUAAUUGACGAUUUGACAAGAAAGUCCUAAACAUUAUUUUUUUUGACAAAAAAGUCAUAAUUACCGGUUAACCAGAAAAAAAUGGUAAAAAUGUCAAAAACUGUUGGUAAUUUGGACUUUACUGUCAAAAAAAUAAAAUUUAAAACUUUUUAUCAAAUCGAUGAAAAUAUUAGGACUUUAUGGUAUAUAUCCCUUAUAACUAAAUAGCAACUAUAAUGUGUGGAGUUUGGUAAAUUCCGCUUGGGUUUGGUCUCUACAACCCAUUCAACCCCAAGGCUAUUCUAGUAAUUUCCCCACUAGAAGGAGCUAGGUUCCGCUGCCUUUUAAGUCUAGGUUUUCACUAUCAUCACUCUCACUCAUCGUUUUGUGGUUUCCUGUGGAGAAGAGCAGCAGAUACUCAACAACUUGCAGGCUCUAUUUUCUCAUCGCCAUCAGGUAUCUGUAGGUGUCCUAAAAUCUACGGUUAGGGUUUUGUUAGCACAGUAAUUCAUGGAAAAUGUUGAAAUCUCACUUGUUACCGUCGAUUCAAUCUUUAUUUUUUAGGAAAAAACAUCGGUUCACCAUAUCGUUAUAAUUGUUAUGAUGAUUUUGGUAUCAUCGAUGAAGUUUUAUGUGUUAUGUUUUCGUUGUAAGCUGGAUGUUUCAGGAUGUUUGAUGAUGUGUGCGAGAAUUUCAUUUUAGGGUUUAUGGUGUAUGUUUGCUUUCUUAAAUAGCGUCUACAUGUUAGCUAAUAUAAAUAGUUACCUUGAUGUUUAUAUAUUGGUUGCCACUCGGCUUCUUCAUCUUUGAAAACAAUGCGAUUAGACCCCCCUUAGGUUUGGAUCUAUGCUUAGAUGUGGAUUGUGUAAUUUUUCUCGUGAAAACUAUUGGAUAAACUUGCUUCGUUUUUUGCACCAUGGAAAGCUUAUUUAUGAUUUAAGCCUGGUUCCAACUUUGUUUGUGGGGUUAAUUUGCUACUUUUAAUGUCUAUAUGUAAAGUAUCAGUUGCUCUCUUUUAGGGUUUAUGUUUAGGUGUCUUAUUACCUCGACAACAAGCAAUGGUGAUGGGAUUAGAUCAUAUGUGAAGUUCUUUUGGGGUGCAUGGAUUAUUGCAUGUGAUGCCCUAUAAUAGUUUUAAUAUAUCAAUGGCUGUAAAUUAUCUGUCCAUAUUAUGCUAUGGUUAUCUGUCUAUUAAACUGUUUUCUUUUUGAACAUGUAAUGUGCAGAAAGAGUGCUUUGAGGAAUGCUGGAUUGAUUGGUCCCAAAUACAAAGAAGAUGAGCAAGAAGAACCCAUUUGUAUACUUGGAUGUGUCUAUAGAUGGAGAUCCUGUUGAAAGGAUGGUUUUUGAGGUCUUUAUUAUAGCUUUAACCUUCUAAGAUCUUUCUUUUAUUCUUUUUUCUGCCAGAUGGCAUUGCCACAUCACUUAUUAUCAAGCUGAAAAACUAAUUCCUUUUAUAUGGUGUUACAGCUAUUCUCAGACACUGUUCCCAAGACUGCUGAGAACUUCCGGGCACUUUGUACUGGUAAAAUGUUCAUCAUAAUUGGUAUUCUUUUUGUCAUAAGUUUAUAAAACUGGAUGCUUUUUUAAAUUUCAGGAGAAAAAGGGAAUAGUCAGAAAACCGGGAAACCCCUACACUACAAAGGAUCCUUCUUUCAUCGCAUAAUCAAAGGAUCCAUGGCUCAGGUAUGUUUUCUAUCAAUUACUUUCAUAAAUUAUAUUGUUUUUUUUUUUUUGUUUUGUUAUUUUAUUUUCCACUUAGUUUCUUCUAGUUCUGGAUGUCUUGGUGGUGGUCUGUCUUUUUAGUCGGCUAUCCUUGUUUAAUCUGUAGGAUACAGGGUUGAUGGUUCCAACUGCUUUUCUUGUGAUGUAGUUUUUAAGGUUGUAAUUAUUUGGUUGUAUUUGUAAUAUCAUCACAUUCAUUCUGAAACAUAUCAUACAAAAUUUACAAAUCCAUCUUUCUGCAAUGAUUUCUGAAUAUAAUUUCUAUAAGUGAAUUAAUUCUUUGUAUUUUUUUUUUGCAGGGUGGGGAUUUUUAUAAACGUGAUGGUAUGUACAUUUUGCCACCAAUUUUUUUUAAUUUUUGUAUACAAAAUCCAUAUCUCAUUGGUUUACUUUUGCAGGAAGUUAUGGAGAAAGCAUAUAUGGAGGGAAGUUUCCAGGUGAGAAAAGUCACUAUGUUCAUUACUUGUGUUUUCUGUUUGAAUGUUGAUGAUCAUAAAUACAUAAUAUGUCUUUAGGUAGUUGAGGAUUUCAUUUAAUUUGUUUAAAAAGUGUAUGCAAAAGAAAUUGAAAUAAACCUUUUAGCUUCUAUCUCCCCAAAAUUUCUAUAUAUGUUUAUAUUUUGAGAGAAUGGGUUUCCUUUUUGAAUUGCCUGUGAAGGUGGGGGCUGACAUUGGUCUUAUUCUCGGUGCAUGGGAGCUCAACCCACAAUGAAAUGGGCAAAUUGUAAUUGUCUUGAAAAAUGGUGGGUGUAUGAAUAUUUUGUGUGCCUUUCUUUCUAGGUUUGAAAUCUUUGGUAAAAUACAAAGUAUUUGGUUUGGAUGAUUUAUGCAGCUAGUUAAGUCUAAUGUAUAAUGUAUGCUUUAUAUUUAUGCCCAAUACAUUGUCAUGAGUUUUUUUAUCUGGCUUUUUUUCCAUGUUAAGUUCCUGGCUACCUUAUUAUUAUUAUUUUGAAUUGGUUAUAAUCAAAAUUUGUUACAUUUCAGAUGAAUCCUCCAAACUGAAACAUGAUGCUCCUGGCCUUCUAACAAUGGCAAUUGCUGAUCGUGAUUCACGUGGCUCUUUAUUUAAUGUGACAUUUGGCGCUAAUCGCCACCUGGAUAGGUUUGCUCAUCUUUGUUGUUACAAUUUUAUGUUGGACAAAUUGAUAGAAAUAGCUACAUACCUUACUUUUGUUAUGGUUACAUAUUGCUAUUAUUGAUAAAAAAAAAGUGUUAAGUAUGUUGCUAUUACGGGUAAAAAAAUAAAUACACUGCAUGUAUUGGUAUUUCCUACAUGUUAUCUUUUUAUAUUUAUCUGAAAAGUUAGAGUUUUAGCAACAUUAACUGUCUAACUUUUGAUGGAAAAGGAAAUUUAAGUGUUGGAAAUGGAAUUUCUUGAACAGGAAGUAUGUUAUUUUUGGAAAGCUUGUUCAAGGACUUGAUGUAUUGAAGAAGAUAGAAAAUGUGGGUGAUGAAGAUGGAAUGCCAACUGUGACAGUGAAGAUCAUUUAUUGUGGGGAAGUAAACGAGAGUGAGAAUCAAAGCUCUGGUAUGGUGGAUAAUUAUUGCAUUUUUAAUGACAUAAUUGUUUGUUUAUUUUUUUAAAAUAAAGUCUCUGUUUUUGAUGUUUUUAUAGAUAAGAAGGCAGCCAGCAAGUUGAAAAGUGGGAAAGAUGUUUCUUCAGAGGUUCACAGCCAUGAAGUGAAGCGGAAGGGAAAGCACAAGAAAUCUUCAAAAGAUAAAAGGAAGAAAAGAAAAAGAUAUUCUUCAUCUGAUUCAGACAGUUCAUCUGACAUGGAAUCUGACUCAUCUGAUUCGGAUAGUGAUUCCGACUCUGAUGAUUCAUCCUCGUCAUCAUCUGAUGUCAGCUCUUCAAGUGAUGACAGGCGUAAGAGAAAAAAGAGAUCCAGAAAGGAUCGACACAAACGUGGAAAAAGAAAGGACAAAAAACGCGAGAAGAAGCGUAGGAGACGCGAUAAGAAAUCCAAACGUAAAUCAAAGAGGUUGGUAUGGUAUUUUAAUUUUAGUUAAACCUUAAAUAAAGUAAUGUUUUAUUCUUUAUAAAAGUUAUUAUAUAUCAUUUUGUAGGGUGUCUGGUAGCGGAAGUGAGAGUUCAAGUGAAAGCGAACAUGCGUCUGAGGACAAUAAUGGUGAUGUCAAAAAGCGAAACCGGAAACAUAAUAAUAGUAAUAAUAAAUCUCCUACAGCUGAAUUUGAAGAUGGUAAAACAGGAGAUGCAUUUGCAUUUGAUGGACAUGUAAAGGAGGAAGAAGGUGAAUACCCGAAAGAAAAUGGUGGGGACCGCCCAAGCAAUGGUGUUGACCUGGCGAAGGCUGAUAUAGUCGAUGACCAUCUCGGAAACUCUAGGUUCAAUCAAAUUUAAUAAAACUUUAUUAUUAUUAUUAUUAUUAAAUUCUUUCUAAUCUUAUUUUUUUUUUACUAAACAGAAGUAGAAGCAAAAGUCCUCCUCGAAGGGAAUUGAGCAAGAGUAUGAGUAUUAGCCCAAGGAGGAGUCAAAGUGUUAGUGGGACCCCUCCUAGACGGGCCCCAUCACGUAGCCCGGUCAGAAGCGAAAGCAGCAGCAAGAGUCCGGUUAGAAGCAUAAGCAGAAGUCCAGUGAGGGGCAAAAACGUCAGAAGCAUAACUCCCUCACCAUCACCUCCACGAAGGAGUGUUUCUAGAAGCCCACUGCGAACAUCGUCUAGAAAAUCCUCACGAAAAUCAGUAAGCAGAAGUCCGGUUAGAUCUUCCAGAAGAAGCUACAGCAGAAGCCCAGUCAGAUCAUCUAAAAGAAGCUUGAGCAGAAGCUCUGGUAGACCGCCUUUAAGAAGAAGCCCUAGCAGGAGUCCGGUCAGACCGCCUAUGAGGGGUGGUCGCCGGAGCUAUUCCAGGAGUCCGGUAGGUGGGCGUAGGGCGGCUAGGUCACCGGAGAGAAGCUUGUCUAGAAGCGCUUCACCUGAUGGCUCUCCCAAACGUAUCAGAAGAGGACGCGGUUUCAGUAACCGAUUUUCUUACGCACGCCGAUACCAUUCUCCCGAUCGCUCCCCGGUCAGAUCUUAUCGCUAUAGAAGUGACCGCGACCGUGACCGUGACCGGUAACAAACUAACAGCUAGCAAUUUUAAAUUAAGUUUUUUAAUAUAUUUAAUAUAAAAACAAUUAAACCAAUAUUUUGGUUUGUAGUUAUUCAAGCUAUAGAAGGCGCAGCCCACUGAGAGACAGAAGUCCACCAAGGUAUUUUGGAGUAAUAAUGGAAUCUUUUUUUUUGGUGAGAAAGUGAUUAUUUGAUUGUUAAAUUCAAUUAUUUACACAGGUACAGAGGGAGAAGAAGCAGGACACGGAGUCCGAGUGUGUCCCGGAGUCCUGUCCCUGUGCGGUACCGCCGGCGCUACAGUCGGAGCCGGUCGCCGGUGGAGACAUCAAGGUACAGGCCAUCACCGCCAGUGGAGAGGAGGAGGGCGCCACGCAGCAGGACCCCGCAUUCUCAAAGUAGGAGCCCGUAUGAACGUAGGUCCUCUCCAUCACCAUCUCCGAGAAGGAGCGUGAAGUCAAAGUCAAAGUCAAAAUCGCCAUCGAGAUCAAGGUCAAUGUCGAGGUCAAGAUCUAGGUCGUCUUCUGGAAGCCCACCUGGGAAGAAAGGACUGGUGUCGUAUGGAGAUGGUUCUCCAGACAGUCAGAAGUGAGAAGAGAAGAGAAAGAUCUUACUUUUGAGGGUGAAAUGAUUUAUAGACUUGGUAAUUGGUACACUAUGUAGGGUGGGUGUGUUUUGAAUAAUUUGACUAUUUCUCUUGUAUUUCUUUCUUCUUCUGUGGAGUGACUGUUGAGGUGCUGCUAGACUAGUAACGAUGAUUGGAUAUGUGUUUGUUUUUAAGAGGUUGGUUAGACUGAGGGGAAUGGGACCGAGUAUCAAUUAUGUUAUGUUUUAAAAAGCCUCUUCUGUUUUUAUCUUUAUUGUUAUGGUUUGCUCUUUGAUCAGUGCGACUUGAAGGUAGUUUGUGCAUUUAUAUAUGUAUUAACAUAAUCUUGUGUGCUUGAAUUGAUACAUUAUAUUAUAAUCUUUUCAAAGAAUAAGCUAACAAGUUAAAAGGAGGGUCAUCAAGAUGUAUUGAAUUAUUAAGUAGAUUGAGAGAAGAUUAUUUACCAUCUCUUUAAGACCGGUAAUAAUUGCGACAUAUGUAUUGUAUUUAGUUAUUUAUUAUUUAUUAACCGAUAAAAUUGGAAUAAGUUACCUAAAAUUUAGGGGAAAAUAUGAUUAAUUACGUAAGUUCAGGGGGUAUUUUGGUUUACGGCAACAGCAGGCGACGUGUAGAAGAAGAAUCUCGGGAACCCUAGCAGAGGUUUGUUUCUCAAUCCUACGCCGCUACGACCAUUGCCGCUUUCUCCACUCCACGAUGAUAACAAAGAAACAUCCGUCGCCGUUUCUCAAUCCAACGGUAAUAUGAUUUACUUGUUCGUUAUUAUUUGAAUCUAUUAAACACAAGAUAUAAGCCGAAGCAUUUUGAUUGAAAUAAGACAGUAACCAAUAAAUACUAAAAGCCAAUCUCUUUUCUGUAGCUUGGUAACAUUUGUAUUACUAAUAAAUGAUGAAUGUAUUAUUGAUUGUACUUGGGUUUUUGAUUGACAGGGUAACAUUAAUGAUAUUGAUCGUAAUGUUCUAUGCAAUGUGUUACACAUCAAACAAUGCUCCAAAGCCUCCCAAUAUAUGGUGAAGUUUACAAAGCAAAGGCAUUGGAAUCAUCAAACAAGUAUGUCUCUACCUUUUAUAAGCUUCUUCAUUUUCAGUAACAUUAUAGGAAUUAGACACUCUUUCUUUGUCACCACUGCAUUUGUGAUGGCAUUGGCAGCUGGUAAGCUUUGGGACACCAUUUCUGAAUGCAUCUCCCAAAUUCAAUCUGAUUGUGAUGAUGAAGCUAAAGAGAGGGCACUUCAAACCCUAGUUUCCAUCACAAAAGCAAGCCCUCCACACAGAAAUUUAGUCAUGCAGAAUCAGGAAGCCAUCCCCGCUCUCCUCUCCCUGCUCAAAUCCUCCUCCCGUGCUCUUGAAAGACUCUCACUUUCCAUCCUCUUCAACCUCUCAUUAAACCCUAAUCUCAAAUCCACCCUUGCUGACAUGGCAACCAUUCAACACCUCAAUACUGUGAUCCUGUCUCGUGGGUCACUCGAGUCUAGCAAACUAGCAGCUUCUUUGAUAUGCAGCCUGGCAAUGCUAGACAAGAAUAAAGCAGUGUUUGGGGUAGCGAAUACUAUUCAAGCAUUGUUGAAGGGAGUUUCAAGGCCUAAUAGUCCUGUGACACAUCACCUUCUCAGCUCACUUGCUGAGUUGGUGCACUUCCAUGGGAAUUGCACAUUGGCUGUUAGAUCAGGUGCAGUUGGUGUUCUCCUGAGAAUAGUUGAGAACAAAGACAGUGAAGAUCUUUGUGGGACUGCUCUUAGUAUUCUUGGGCUUCUUGCUAAGUUUGAUGAAGGGCUAAAAGCUUUGACAAAUACACCUAGUAUUGUGAGUAGAAUGCUUGAUGUGUUGAAAGGUAGGUCCAUGUUGAAUAAUGAAGGUGCAGCCGAGGUACUUCUUCGUGUUUUUGAUGAGAGUGAAGAAUGCUUGAGAGAUGCUAUCGGAUUGCCUGAUUUCAUGUAUACAUUAGCUGAGCUCUCGGUGAGAGGAUCAACGAGAGCUCGGGAGAAAGCUUCUCUACUGUUGAGAAAACUUGAGGCUAAUGAAUCAUAUGUAGAUGAUGAUCUGGUGUUCUUGAAAUGGUAAGGUAGGAUGCGUGUCUUAAGAAAAGUAACAUAAUAAGAGCUUUUGUUUGUUUUGUAGCACAUGAGUGUGCACAUUAUUAGGUCCUCUUUGAAGGUUUAGGUAAUGAAUAGAUGGGUUUGGUGUUAAAAAAGGCAUGGAGUUUAUAGGAUUGAAGCCAUGACUCACAAAACUACGAACUACAUAAAAAAUGAAUUUGAGAGUUACAUAAAGCCAUAAAGUUAAAUUUAUAAAGAAAGCAUAACUAUCUUGCAUCCAAAUACAACAACAACAACAAAUAAACCCAAAUCCCAUAAAGUCUUGUGAGGUAAGUGGGAGGUUUGAUGUAGGUGGUCUUAGUGUCUUGCCUCCACCCGUGGGUAGAGAGGCUACCUCUAUAGGAGACUUUCGCCAUGAUCAAGGAUGCACCAUACAUGAGCAAAUAAAAGCAAUAUACAAUUAAAUAUACUAAUACUAGAAAUAGUACUAAUUGUAAAAAUGAAAUAACAUAAGACGAUAAAUACUUAAAUGCCUAAAUGAUAAUACAAGAAACAAAACUUAUGCUACUACACUAACCUAAUUCUCCGUCUCCACUCCUACCUAUGUGAGGUCUGUAGAAGGUGCCAACUCCUUCGUGUCUAACCUCACACUAUAGUUACGUUGCGUCCUCGGUCGACCUCUCCUCUUCGCCUUACCGUAGAUGUGACGCCUCGAUCCAUUGAGUACCGUCAUCUAUCCUUAGUACACUUUAUUUUAAAUACAACUAAGAUAAUACCUUAGAUUUCAUCUUCAUCAUGGUUUAACAAAAUUACAUAAGCAAAAGUGCAUAAAAGAAAAACUAUUUUAACCGUUUAUAAUUCAUCCAAAAUUUCUGUUAAAACACUAACUACUUGUGGUCCUUCUUCUUUCCUGAGAUACAUACAUGAAUACAUAAGCUUUAAGUUUAGUGAGUAUUUUGGUUUUAAUAUUUAGCAUAAACAUUUGAUGGAAAAAUAACAAUUAAAUGCUUGAAAACAUUAAUUUGAGAUCUUAUAGCUACAUGUAAGUAGGCCCAACUUCUGGGAGGUUUGCUAACCUUGGGAUUCAUAUAAGGCUGUCCCAUAAGGUCCGUUUUUAAGACGUCCCUUCAUCCCAUACCCAAUGCGUUGGGUUACUUGGGUAUUUAAAUGACCGUACUUAACAUGAAUAAAACUUUCAUGCUAACUUCAUAAUAUGUUGUUAAAUGUCUUUGAAAAAUCAUUUGAGCAAGUGAACAUGGCAAAUAAUUUAAAUGCAUUGAACAUAUACGUAGCAUGUAUGUAUCCCAUUAAAUCACAUAAAUAUACUCACCUUUCUUUGAGCUUUUAGGCUUCUUUUUAAUCUUUUAAGUCACCACCAAGCUUGAUAGUGUAUUCUAGGAUGAAAAAAAAUGCUUAACUUCACUUGCUAUGUCUAGUAAAAUUGUGUGCAUUGCUUGCUUGUUCUUUAGGCCUAAAACAUAGUACAUUGUUGAUGAGAUGAUUACACCUAGUGUACUUGUUGUACCUCAUCUCCUUAGAAGCUUACACCUCAAGCCUCUAGCUCUUCUAUGUCAUCUUCCAGCUUAGCUUAAUCUCCUUAGAAGCUUACACCUCAAGCCUCUAGCUCUUCCAUGCCAUCUUCUAGCUUAGCUUAAUCACUCAAAAUCUAGGCAACGCUUAUCUCUACUUGUAUAUGCUAGCUUGGUUACUACUUUUAGCCUUGAUUUGUCAUGCUAAGCUUUGGUUUACUUGUAGCUGGUGUUGUGGUACUUGUAAGCAUAUGGUAAGCUACUUGUGUGCUUGCUUAUUUUCAACUUUUCUUUUUACAUAAAAUUUGCAACAUUCUUCUAUAACAACUAUUCUUAAAGUGUCCCUUAUGUUCUUUUAUAUUACAAGGGUGUUAUGGUAGAUGAUUGCCUCCUCUUGACAUAUCUAAACCACUAAAAUCUUUCUUUCCUCGAAUUUUCGGUGGUUCACGCAACUCCUAACUUAUUUAUGAUUAUAGCAUUCAGUAUUUUCUCCAACAUUGUUGUAAAGCAUAAACACUGAAGGAUCCUCAUUUCAGAAAUUUCCAUCUUCCUCUCAUGCUCUUUUUUUUCCGGCUAACAUUUGAAGCAACUACCACCUUGUAUCUUGCAUCCAAAUGAUGCCAAUGGUUGUUUUAAAACAAUUUUGGCUAAGGGUGUAGACUAGACAAAGCAAAGUAGAAGGAGAAACGAGGUUUAUUGGGUAGGGUUUAACAUGGACUAGGCUUAUAUAGACCACACUUUUAUCAUGUUAGAUAGUAGAUAGUUUUUUAUAAUGAUUUCUUAUGCAUCUUUAGCGUGGUCGUACAAUUAUGAAUAUUUAUAAUAGUUGGAUAAAUUUAUAAAAUAUGAAAGUGUUGUGGCAAAAUCUAGAGAUUUGAAACAUGUGAACCUACAUGUUUUAGACAUGACACUUUAGUGUCUUGUUUAGGGACCUAUUCCGUGUAAAUGCAUGUAAUUAUCACAUGAAGCUUGCAAAUUGAACUUAUUUUACUAAAUAUUAGGUGUAGACUACCAGGAAAGAAAUUUAAAGCCCAAAUUUGCUUGCCUUUUCUUUCAUUUCCUUUAUCGUGAGUUCGUGACCUUUCCCCUUUAUUGUGCCCUCGACAAUCGACAUAGGACAUCGCCGAGUGGUGCGUUUGCUAUCGUAUCUUUCGAUUGCACCUCAACUACACCUAAAACAACAAGAAUUUGUUUAUCGCAUUGAUAUUAAGGUAUCUUUUUCGAAUACUUAACCUUUAGAUCUAGUUUGAUCCCAAAUCGAUUAUUCCAAAAUUUUACUUGUAAUGCUUUAGUUAGGUAAAUUAUUUUGCAACCGGAAAGAAUUGGCUAGGGUUGUUUGGAAUAAAUGUUUGUGUGCUUCCGAUUACGCUAUCAAUAUUUCUUUACAUUUUUGUUAAUAGGAUUAAUGUCAAUGAACUUAACUUGUAUAUGGAAUGUCAUAAUUAUGAUUUCCAUUCCAUGAUAAACAAUGUUAGGGCCUUAUUAAUGAGAUAAUUCUUUAAUUAAGGUAGUUAUUUAAUUACUUAGAAGCAGUGAUGAUAGUUUGUUAAGCUUUGGUGUCAUGGAUGGUGUCACUUAGAUCAUGAGAGAGAUAGAGAGAAGGGAAGGGGGGGGGGGGGAUCUUAUGGGCCAUCAUUUGUACCCAUCUAGUAGAAUGACGAGAGAGUCGAGUUCCAUAGGUCUUGGAUAUUUCUUCCAUUUCAUAGUGGAUGAUAGUGGGUAUCUUACUAUGAUUUCCUUCUUUGUAUCUCCAAAUUAGCAAAGGGUUUAAAGGCAUUUAGCUACAACUCAUUGCCUUAUUGUGGUUGUAAAUAAUAUGUCCAUCUUUUUGCACAUGUUAUGCUUUUUUCGUAAUCUAGUGGGAAAUUGUGUUAGAUCUUUUGAUAUCCUCGUUUAUAUAGAGGGACACGUUUGAGAACAUGAACCAUAAAUUUUGGAUAUAAUGAUAUUAACUAUGUUGAGACAUCUUUUUGGUUUUAAGAUGAAUUUUGGUUUUACUCCCACCAUUAUCCCAUUUUCUUUGGUUUUUCCUCUCAUUUUUGGACCAUUGACUCUAGUCGUAGUCAAAUCUCAUCUUUACCAUUUUAUAUGGACCUUGUUGCUCAAACCUCAUCUUUAAUAUCGCUAUGCGGCGGUGUUUGGGAUUGCUUUUCAAAACAACCUAUUGACUUAUUGGCUUUUUGAAAAGCCAAUAAGUCAAAAAUAAUGUUUGGCAAACUCAAAAGCAUUUUUCAAAAUAACUUUUCCAUUAGCUUCAAAAAGGAGAUUUCAAAAAGCAGGUAAAACUUGGCUUUUUGAAACUCCUUUUAGCUUUUUAAUCAUAAUAGCUUCAAAAAAGAGAUUUUAAGCCUAACAUUUUUUUUAAACUUAUUGCCUUAUUGGAUUUUGCCAUCUCAAAAGCUAAUCCAAACACUUUUUUAAGUCAAUAAGCACUUUUUCCCAACAACACUUUUGGAAUUCAAAAAGCAGUCCCAAACACCCCCUUGUUCCAACCAUGUGUUGUCAAUGCACCAAGAUCUUCAGUUUUGAUCUGAGCCUUGGCCUACAUUAGUGCUGGCUUUGACUAUUAAGUUCUACCUGAGUUGGGUGUCACUAGCAUUUUCUCAAGAGAUUACUUGAUCUUUCAUUAUUCUACCUUGGUGUCUUUUAGCAGAGCAUCAGAGUUUUCUCUAUUGAGUCAAGAAAUUCUAAACCUUUUAUAUUGCUGGUCGCCUAUAGAUGUUUUUUCCAAUCCAUGACUUGUAAACUACGGCGUUCUCUGUUCUUAUAGAUUUGGUCCUUGAAUUUUAUGCAAGAAAUAUUUUAUAAUGCUUAUUUAAAAAAGAAAAAACUAAUGUAAUGCAAUGUUUAGAAGAGGAAGAAUGAGCAUGGUGGGAGAUUGGAUUUGUGGGUCAUGCAAUCACUUAAACUUUUACUGGAGAGAAUCAUGCAGGAGAUGCAAAGAGCCACGAUCCCAAGACAUGAAUGCAGCUGUGAGUGCGGGCCCCAGGGUGUUUGCUUUUAGGCCCGGGGAUUGGUUCUGUGAUGUUGGGAUUUGUCAGGCUCACAACUUUGCAAGCCGAAGAUUCUGUUUCAAAUGUGGUGUAAUUAAAAGCAUACCAUCUUUUGGUCCUACUGUAGGACUAGGAUACUACCCUACCCUUCCCCUUCCCCCUCCCCCUCCUCCUUUCUUGAGUUUCAGUUUCAUGAAUCCCAGAAUCAGCCAACGAGGCUGGAAGCCUGGCGACUGGUUUUGUGGCAGGGGGUUUUUUUUUUAAUUUUUUUUUUUUUUUUUUUUUUUUUAUUUUAAAUAUUUUUUUUUUUUUUAAAUAUANUUUAUCUUUUUUCAUAUUUUUUUUUUUUUUUUUUUUUUUAAUUAAGGUCAUAAUCAUUAUUCAUUAAUACUAGUUGAUUCUCAUUCAUAUAAUCAUAUGAUAUGAUAUAGGCCUGGCUGUAAUGCACACAACUACGCUUCCCGAAUGAUAUGUUUCAAGUGCAAGUCUUCUAGGGAAUUGGUUACCAAUGUUUCUAAUUGAUUCCUUCCUUGCAUUCCGAAUUCUGGUAAAGAUUUUUGUUUUUUUUUUUCUUAUGAAUGUGUGUGUAAUUUAUGUCAUGUUUUUCAGGUCCUAUGGUUAUGCUAUCACCUCUGUUAGGAGAGAGGGAGAGUCAGAGUUGUUGUUUUUUCGUUCAGAUCUUGUUAUAUCUUAUGUGUUUCUUUUUAUUUCUGUUGGUUGCAUUGCAAUGGAGUUUGAAUCUGGUAUGAAGUUUACAUGAAUUAAUGAAGGAUGUAAUUAUAAGUGGUUUCUUCAGUUUGAAUGUGAUGAUUAUGGAUGGAUGGAUGGAGUUAUAAGAUUUUUGUGGCAAUUUGGUUGGAUCAUAUGUGUAGUUGUAAGAAAAGUUCAUUCAACUGGGUUGUUGAGUUUCAUACACAUUCAUUUGCAAAUGGUAAUUUGACAAGGAUUUUUUUUAAUAUAGCUGAUUUUGGAAAUUUUGGUCUUCAAAUGAUUUUUUUGUUUUUUGUUUUUGUUUGUUUGUUUGUUUUUUUUUUUUUUUUUUUUUUUUUUUUUUUUUUUUUUUUUUGUUUGUUUGUUUGUAAUGGUCUAUGUUCCAAAUAAAAUGACUUUUUUUUUUGUUUCCUAAGUUAUACCUGAUUUUUGCAGUUUUAUCACAAAAAUAGUCAUUUUCUUGGUACGAGGACCAAAAUCAUUAAAAAGAGGAUCAAAAUUGCAAAAAAAAAACUCACCUCAAAAUUGCAAAAGAAAACUCACAGACCAAAAUUACAAUUCAAAAUUACAAAAAGAGGACAUACUACCUAAUUCAUUGAUGAUUAAAGUGGGACAUUGUUUAGUCGUAUUCAAUAAUAUAUAGAAGUAGGAUCGGGUGAUGACUUGAAAAAUAGUGAGGAUUGCGAUGACAAAUCUUGGAUGUUUGUUGGUUUAAAUGGGUGGUUGAGAUAAAUCAAAAUUAAUAAAUAAACAAAAAAAAAAUCGUCCAAUGACAUUUUUGUAAAUAAAAUCAAGUUAGGAUCACUUUCCAAUUAAAGGGCAAUGUCUGGGGGUCAUAACUGUCAAAGGAAAUAAUAAAAUUUUGUUGCUGAAAUGAACUCCACGCACAAAAGGUGCGUCGCCAACUCUAUGGAUCUUACUCUUGAACACGUUUCGCCACCAGGUUUACUUGGGUUUAUUUAUUUAUUUUUAUUUUUCAUGGAUCUUACUCUCGUAUGAACUUGUAUAAGUAGUCCCCGGAAAUGUAUUGACCUGAACUUCAUGAAUAUGGCUUCGUAAUCUGGUUUGGAUGGGUUCUAACGGGAAAAAAACAGGUCUUGAACAAGCUGUUGUUUCGAGUUAAAAUCUGAAAAUUUAACCUAGUUGUUUAAUUAUAUGUUUAAGGUGAAUAUCCCUAUUUAAUCUUGAUUGUUAUUCUUAGGAGUUUUGAAAGGUGACCGGGUGCGAAUGGGUUCUGGUUUCAGUUGGAGGUUUACUCUACUACUUGAGGUGAGUUUCUCACUACACUGUGUAAUGUUGUGCAUUCUUUGCUUUAGCUCGUGUGUGUUAUAGUAUGUUUAUACGGGUAACACUAGAUUGGGUUAGUAUCUAGUGGGAGUAUGUUAUUUGUUCAUGUAUUGAAGAAUAUGUAUAGAAGGGAUCGACGUAUCCGAGCAGAGGAUCGGGCAUAGCCAGUGUGUCCCAAGGGGUCGACGAAUUGAGCAAGGGGGAUCGGGCAUGACCAAUGUGUCCCAAUGGGUUCGGGUGAUCGGGCUUAUCCAAUGUGCCCCAAUGGCUCGAUGUAUCGAGCAAAGGGGAUCAGACAUAACUAAUGUGUCCUAGUAGGUGUAUGUUGUUAUUGAUUCGCUCUUUGACAUGCAUACGUGUUUGUGUGGUUGAUAUUGUUGUUAUAUGUGUAUUAAGGGUAGAGCUUGUAUGAUAUAGACAUAUAGUAUUGUGUAUGUGUGAAAUCCCCUAAGCUUUGUGCUAUUCCCUUUUCCCUUAAAAAAAUACCAUUUCAGGAUUAACAUGUACUUAGGAUGGCAGGGUGUGAUAGUACACACCGGCUCAGUACGGAUUGAUGAAGUUUUCAUAUUACCUUGGAUUAUGUUUCUUUGAUUUUGGAAUUUAUAAUUAACAAAUGGUUUUUGAAAUUUAUUGAUCUUGGGAUUAUGGUUUUAAAACUUAUUUUGAAAAAAAGUCAUGGUUUUGAAUAUACUUAUAUUGUUUUUAGAAGUUCAAAUUUAUUGUAAAUUUUAGGAUGUUACACAAUUGUAUUGGAUUGAGUGCGAAAUUUGAAAAUCCAAUUGGAUUACUUGAAGGCAAUGUUACUUUGUUAGUCUUAUUUAGCAUAAUUGUGUGCGGUUUUAUUUUUAGUUAUCGUAGUUAUAUUUGGUUAUUCGAUAGAAAGAGAUUAGAAUUGGUUGGAUAAUGGAUAACUACUGAAUUAAACCAAUAAAAAAAUAUCCAAUAGAUAGAAUCGAUCUAAUCCAACAUCCAAUUGGAUCGAUUUGGUUUGAUUUUUUUAUGAUGAAUUGGAUUGGACCGGUUGACAAAUCCAACAUCUAAUGGAUGAUUAGAUUGGAUUGGUUCCAUCGAAAUCCAUUGGAUUUGAACCGCUGAUCACCCAUAAUUUGGUUAUUAUGUUUUUUUCAAUCAGCUGCUGGAACAUGAUGGUUCUAAAAACAUUUUGCAAAAAGGUAAGAAUCAGCCAUAAAGUCACAUUACCUUUCAUUGUUGAUGGUUGUGGAAUGUGAACUACUUUUUAUUAAAUUAUAAAUUAUCUAAGGAUGAAACUGCAUUUCCUUUCUUCAUAUCACUAUAACACAUUACAUUAUUUUUGUAUGUUUUUAUAACAUCAAAUCUUUGUUGUGAAACAAGGUUUAUUAUUAACAUGAGUUGGUUUGAGCUUUAACAAAAUUUUAAGAUAAUUAACUAUUUCAUACAAAUGAUUGUUCCAUGGAUUAUAUCAUUAUUAUUAUUAUUAUUAUUAUUAUUAUUAUCAUUAUAAAUCUUAUAAUAGAAGUCACUUGUGACAUAUAUCCUUAUUAUUAUCAUUAUCAUCAUUAUAAAUCUUAUAAUAGAAGUCACUUAUGACGCGGUUCAAGAUAACUCCCUAUAUUGAAGUGCAAAUAAUAAAGAUACGAAUGAUGGAUGUUACGUAAUAAGAUUAUAAUUUGAAAUAGUAUGCUAGAAAGUAACAUGACAAACAAAUCCUGAAACCGUAAACAACAAACAUACAAAAGCCAGUUUGGUAUCAAGAACAAGGUUGGACCGAAACCGUAAACAACAAACAUACAAAAGCCAGUUUGGUCCAAAACCCGAAACCCGAUUUAGUACCCGGAACUGGACCGGACCGAACCCCGACCCGCUACACCUAAAAACGGUCCAGUUCUCGGGUAAGGUAAUUCAUGGUUUUCGGUCUUCAGGCUGGUCCGGUUCGGGUUCUGCUCGUUGCUCUAUAUUGAACCAUAUUAAUUUGAAACUACGAAAACUCUUCGGCUUAUAUUUUAAGUUUCUAUUUGGUGUGUUAGCUGAAAAAACUAGUUUUUAACUUAUAAGCUAGUUUAUCCAUAAACUAUCUCGGAUAACUUAGACAAAACUGCAAAAUUGGUCCUUGUGGUAUGCAUUUUUUCUGAGGUUUAAUCCAAACCUCGAUUUUUUUGGAUUGGUGGUCCUUUUUGGUCCCUUGAAAAAUUGAAAAGACUAAAAUGCCCUUCUGAACAGUUUAUAUGUUAUUUUCUAUUUAAUUUAAAAUUAUAUUAAUUAAAAAUAUAGGGCCCACCUCUUUCUUUCUUUCUUUCUUUCUCUCUCUCUCUCUCUCUCUCUCUAUAUAUAUAUAUAGCCAUUUGGGUUUGUCUUUGACAAACAUCUAAUAACAUCUUCAUAAAUUCAAGAACACUCAAGAACAUCUUAUGCCAUCACCACCAUUCGACCACCGUCCUCCACCACCACUGUCUGCCACCUCCAUCUCCACCUGAACUUUUUAUACCACUUUAUAUCCGCCUAAAAUCAUCCCAAAAACAAAAAUCAUACACAAAAUAUGGGUUUGUUCUUGAGUUUCCCCUUAAAAAUAAUCACUAGAUCUGAUGCCUCAUCAAGAGCUCAUGAACACACACACCCACCCACAUUCAAGAACACAUUCAUGAACCCCAUAUCUGAUGAGCACACAAACACAAACACACAUUAUAUCAGAUCUGAUGAAGGGUUUUUGGAUGAACACAUUCAAGAACAAAUUUUUGAACCCUAGAUAUAAGGAACACACGAACAAAAUCAGAUCGAGUUCAUGGGUUCUCGGGUUCUUCAUCCAAAAAACAAAGAUCUAAAACCAAAACGAACAUUUGACCCCUCAGUGGCAGAUUUCUUCGUCCCCAUCUUCCAAAAACCCAUAUUGUAUGUGUGUAUUUUGUGACAUCCCCGAUUUCACGGCCACAAAAGACCGAUUUGAUUAUGAUUAUUUAAAUCAGAAUAUUCUUUUCAAAAGAGUAAUAAUGUGGAAUUUGUUCCAAAAAAUAUGACAAUAUCAUUAUUAAAGCAUUUCCGAGGAAAUGUAUUUCAUUUAUAUUUAAAAACCUUGGGAUGUCAUGGUCAAUACAACAACAUAAGCAUAAAACGUAAUAUUACAGGCCUUACAAUAGUUUAUUAUUCUAUUGGCCUAUUCUCCUUUAAAUCUCACUCCAAAUUUAAACUCAUCACACCUAUGCUCUUACGCUGCUACCUGUGAAACAAAGAAACUGAGUGGGUUAGGCUUCGGAAAGCCUGAUGAGCACAUAGGGUUUUCAACCCACAAUAAUUAAAUUUAUUAAUUUCAUCAAUCAAUCAACUCGGUUAUCCGUUCCCGUUAUCCUCACUUUUUGUCCCUAAAACAUCUAAAUUAAGGGACUUAGCCUAAGGAUUUUUCAUCGGGGUGACAGCACUGCAUAGGGGAUUCCUCAACAAUAUAUGUUAAAAGGCAACCAUAGGGGAAUGGAGUACAUCUGGUGAACAUUUAGUUCAAAAACACCUACAUGUUUCGAGCCUACCACCGUUCCACUAGACUGUCUAGAAUAGUUUGUGGUCGUCAUCUAUACUCCGCUAGAUGACUGGAUCAUCUUAAACACUCUAGGCCUAUCAUUAUUUAUUUUAUCAUCUAUAUCAUCUACCCAUCUUUACCCUUUAUAUUUAUAGGUACAAAAUACAUACAUAGUUUAAAUCGAAUAAAACAUGUAUAUUUUGUUCAUCCAACAUACAUAUCAAGAACACAGAUAAUAUACACACAUAACACGUAAUUUUUAUUAAAUACUUCAUAUUUAUGUAUAAGAUGAAAAUAACUAUGCACUCACUUGACUAGUUAGUGGUUACUAACUAUGUUCUUAAUCGUCGUUAUAUCACACUUUCUUUAUUUAUGACUCCUUGCUCGAAAAUUCUGAACUCUAAUUUCAAAAUUUCUGGCCCUUCUUUAUAUCGAGUAUAUCUUUGGCUAUUAUUGUUUUCUAUCAUAAGAAUUGCUCAAAGGAUACCUCUAUUUAUAUAAAGGAUUUUUGAAUCGCCCGUACAAUAUCAAAAGAUUAGUCACCCAAAAAAAUUACACGUAUAACUUCAAUAAAUUAGAUGUGUACGAACAUACUUGAAAGGUUAACACAUAUUCUUCUGAUAUUGACUCUAAAUUAGAAGGUGUAUUAUUACUUCUCUUUUGUCAACACAUAUCAUUUUAAUUAAUAAAAUAUGUACGACAUGUAUUAUAUUUCUUACAGGUAUGUUGGUUUGCAAUUUACAAAUCAAUUAUAGUUACAUUUAUGGUCCAUAAGUUAUUAUUGUAUUAACACAAUAUAUCAUUCAAGUUACACUGUAGUCCCUCAGCUGCAUGGAGCCCCUAAUAAGAAUAAAGAACAAGUAAGAGACGAUCACCCACUUAUUUGUUUGGAUCGGUCCGAUCCAAUCAAAUUAAGUAAAUUCAACUUAAUUCCGGUUUACAAAACAUUGAUUCAAAUAGUUCAAACUAAAUUCAAAUUCGGUAUGAAUUAAUCAAAUUACAAUUCGAUUUUCAAGAGUCGGAAUGUUUUAAAAUAGUUAUAAUUUGAAUAUUAGCUGACUUUAUAAAAGAAAUAUAAUCAAAUGGUUAGUUGUAAAUUAAAAUUUAUAAACUGUUAAGGAAAAUAUAUUUUGAUUCAUUAGAUAAAAAAAUCUUGAAAAAAAAAUACAUAUUAAGGUUUUUAUUAGGAGAGUGUUUCUAACCUAUUUAAAAAACAAUUCAGUAAAUUAAUAAAUAAUUAAAAGUAUAUAUUAAAAAUUAAAAUAUAUAUAUCUAUUCUAAUAAAUGAAAGUGUUUUUUGUCACAUGUUACACUCUCACUCAAUUUAUCAAAUGUCAUUUUGUGGUUAUUUUGAAUUAAUUUAUUUUUCCAAAUGUCAUGUUAUGUUUUUUUUUUUAUUUUAAUAAAGUUCACAUAAUAUUUAAAUGUAAUAAUUACAAUAAAUUUAGUAAUAAAUAAAUAUAAAUUUCAUUAAUGGAUAAAAAAAUCAAUUUUAAAAGAUAAAAAAAAUCAAUUUUUAUAAUUCAUUAUUUUUUUUUUAUAAAUUCAAAGUUCUUAAAUAUUUAGACAUUUAUAAUUAAUUUUUUUGAUUAACUCAUAUAAUCCAUGAGUCUUAUAGUUUACAAAAUAUUUAUCAAAUAAAGAUAUACUUGCAUGCUGUAAGAUAAUUUUUUUUACUAAUUUACCACCCCGGCCUUUCUAACAAUAAUUUGUAUUAUAUAAAAGACAAUGUUUUCUAAAUAAAUAAAAGAUAUUAGUUUAUUUUAUAUAUAGACAACCACAUAUCAUUUCCAUAUAUAACAUGAUGGUUGUUCAGAUCCGUGAUUAUUUAAUUUAAACUAUUAAAUAUGUAUUUUAUGAGUCGGUGAUUUCUAACACUAUUAAAAAAAGGGACAUUGUAACGAAACUAAAAGGCCGAGUUUCCUGUAAGCAGCUGACUGAAGCCAGACAGUCAAGCCAAGCUGAUUCUCCCCGCUCUCGACCAAAAUCUAUUACUAUUUUCAUCAUCACCGACACCCUCCCCCUCUCUUUUCUUAACAAAUCAAUACAAAUGAUUAAUAUGCAGUAAUCAUCGAAAGUGAGAUCAAGAAUGGGCCCUUUUCUUCUCACGCCAAUGCCCAUCAAACUUCAUUGAUUAUCAAGUUCCUUCAAAUUCAAAUCAAGAACGAAAAAAUCAAUUUCUAUCAUCUGGGGCUCUUCUUUAGUCCCCUGUUUCUACUUUAAUUGGAAUACAUGGAGGCAAAUGCAGGAUUAGUUGCCGGAUCUCAUAAGAGGAACGAGUUGGUGAGAAUAAGACAUGAUUCCGAUGGAGGGGUAUGUGUUCUUUCGAUUUUUCUUGAAUACCCUUUUGGAUUUUGAGUGUUCAGAAAUCAAUUUUAUCGACUCUUGUAUAGAUCUAAGUGAUUUAACAGUAGGCUAUUUUGUUUAACCCAAGUUUGUUUAUUUUGUUUGGAUCUGAGUGAUCAGUGUGACCAGUGAGCUCAGUAAUGAGUGAUGAUACGACUUUUGACUUAUUAAUCCUACCUUUUUGUUAAAUCUUCAAAGAGGGUUUUUUGUUAAAUUUGUGGAUUUAGAUCUGAAUCAUCGAGAUGAAAGUUUCUGUUUUCAGCGCCCAUCUUGAUUAAUUUGACAAAAUUUUCAGCUUUAGCACAUGAUGAUUUCUUAAAUUAUUUAAUUUUGAUUGUGACGUUGAGUGUUGAUGAUGCAGCCGAAGCCUUUAAAGAAUAUGAAUGGACAGAUAUGUCAAAUCUGUGGCGACACCGUCGGCCUGACUGAAAACGGCGACGUUUUUGUUGCUUGCAACGAGUGCGCAUUCCCGGUUUGUAGACCCUGCUACGAGUACGAAAGAAGAGACGGAAAUCAAGCAUGCCCUCAAUGCAAAACUCGAUACAAAAGACACAAAGGUUAGUUUUUGAGUUUUUGUUCGUAUCAAGAACACAUCAAACAUAUGAUUUUUGUAAGAAUUAAAGAGAGAUACAAAUGUUUUUAGGGAGUCCCCGAGUUGACGGUGAUGAUGACGAGGACGAUGUUGAUGACCUGGAAAACGAGUUUGAUUAUGCACAAGGGAGACGACAAUGGCAAGGAGAAGAUCCGGAUCUUUCUUCAUCUUCUAGAAGACAUGAAUCACAGCAACCAGUUCCCCUUCUCACUAAUGGCCAACAAGUAAGAAAAUUACUUAUAUACCCUUUUGUUCUAAGCAUUACCUUUUUAACUAAAUUCAGAGUGUUAUUUUCAGGUAUCUGGUGAAAUCCCAAUUGCCACACCGGACAAUCUAUCUGUAAGAAGUACAUCGGGUCCAUUAGGCCCUGGUGACAAGCCUGUCCGCUAUAUGGAUCCAAGACAACCAGGUUACUUUCUUUUUUUUUUUUUUUUUUUUUAAAAAAAAAGUAUUAUUAUUAAUCAGAUAAUGUUGUAGUAAUUAUGCUAAUGAUGCCCUUUUAAUAAAUAGUUCCUGUAAGAAUUGUGGACCCAUCAAAGGAUUUAAAUUCAUAUGGGCUUGGGAAUGUGGACUGGAAGGAAAGGGUAGAAGGCUGGAAACUAAAACAAGACAAAAACAUAAUGCAAAUGGCAAACAGAUACAAUGGCGGUGAAGGGAGAGGAGGUGAGAUUGAAGGCACGGGAUCAAAUGGAGAAGAAUUGCAACUGUAAGUAGUAAACUAAAGGGUACUUUAGGAAUAUCAUAUUUGUCGACUUAUGAUUUGACUUUUUUUUUUUUUUUUUUUUUUUUUUUUUUUUANUUUGUUUUGUUUUUUUUUUUUUUUUUUUUUUUUUUUUUUUUUUUUUUUUUAAAUAUAUAUAGGGUUGAUGAUCCAAGACAAUUAAUGAGCCGUGUGGUGCCUAUUUCAUCUUCUCAUUUGACUCCAUAUCGAGUUGUGAUUAUAUUGCGAUUGAUUAUUUUGGGAUUUUUCUUGCAAUAUCGGUUGACUCAUCCUGUUAAUGAUGCGUAUCCUUUGUGGCUUGUAUCUGUUAUUUGUGAGGUGUGGUUUGCUUUUUCUUGGCUUCUUGAUCAAUUUCCAAAAUGGUCCCCCGUUGAACGUGAGACCUUCCUUGAUCGCCUUGCAUUGAGGUAAGUAAGUAAUGGGAUUUAGAUUUUGGGCUAAUUGCAAGAAAUAGCAAUGUACUUUCAUUUGUAGUCAUCAUCAUGGGCAAUUAGGUAAUUUUAGCUUAAACAAUGAAAAUUUGUUGUUUUGUAGGUUUGAUAGGGAAGGAGAGCCUUCACAAUUGGCACCUAUAGAUGUCUUUGUGAGUACAGUGGAUCCAUUAAAAGAGCCUCCUCUCAUCACUGCAAACACAGUGUUGUCUAUUCUUGCUGUGGAGUAUCCUGUUGACAAAGUCUCCUGCUAUGUAUCUGAUGAUGGAUCUGCUAUGCUUACAUUUGAGUCUCUUUCUGAGACAGCAGAGUUUGCAAAAAAGUGGGUCCCAUUCUGCAAGAAGCAUAGCAUCGAGCCCAGAGCCCCUGAGUUUUAUUUUGCUCAAAAGAUAGAUUACUUGAAGGACAAGAUCCAGCCUUCUUUCGUCAAAGAACGUAGAGCAAUGAAGGUGAGUUUUACCACUUUUAUGUUUUAUGUUUUAUGAUUUCUUCCAGUGUUUUACCAAAUACCUAAAACACCCUUUUAUGGCAGAGAGAAUACGAAGAAUUCAAAGUUCGGGUCAAUGCACUUGUAGCAAAAGCACAAAAGAUGCCGGAAGAAGGCUGGUCUAUGCAGGAUGGAACUCCUUGGCCUGGAAACAACCCCCGUGAUCAUCCUGGAAUGAUUCAGGUAUUUGAAUGAUUGUUUGGUUGCUGAAAAUUUGUAUAUCAACAGUUGAUUGUUGACUUCUCUUGUUUAUGAUGAUUGGAAUUGGAUAGGUGUUCUUGGGGCACAGUGGAGGUUGCGAUACAGAUGGAAAUGAGCUACCUCGUCUUGUUUACGUGUCCCGUGAAAAACGUCCUGGGUUUCAACAUCACAAGAAAGCCGGUGCCAUGAAUGCUUUGGUAUGGAUCUCUUAAAAAAACAUGGAAAUUUUUUGUGUUUAUUGGUUGUUUAUGGAUGCGAUGCAAUUUGGUGUUACAGAUUAGGGUUUCGGCGGUUUUGACGAAUGGCGCGUACCUUUUGAACGUCGAUUGUGAUCACUACUUCAACAACAGCAAAGCUCUAAAAGAAGCCAUGUGUUUCAUGAUGGAUCCUGCCUAUGGAAAGAAGACAUGCUAUGUUCAAUUCCCACAGAGAUUCGACGGGAUUGAUUUACACGAUCGAUAUGCUAAUCGCAAUAUCGUCUUCUUCGAUGUGCUUUUCUGAACUUUACAGAGUCAAACUUAAAAAAAAAAAUUCAAAUUCAAAUUCCGAUCUUGUUGGGAUUUCAAAAAUCAAAAAUUGACAUUUCUAUAUAUAUAUAUUUUGUACAGAUUAACUUGAAAGGGCUGGAUGGGAUUCAGGGGCCGGUUUACGUGGGAACUGGUUGCUGUUUCAAUCGACGAGCUCUGUAUGGAUACGACCCUGUUUUAACAGAGGCUGAUUUAGAACCAAAUAUCAUUGUGAAAAGCUGUUGUGGUUCACGAAAGAAGUCGAGAAACGUUAACAAGAAGUACGUGGAUAAAAAAGCAGUGAUGAAAAGAACGGAAUCCAACACUCCAAUUUUAAACAUGGAUGAUAUCGAUGAGGGUGUUGAAGGUUUGAUUUUGAGUCUUUCACUUUAGUUUGUGGGUCCAGUGAAUCAUUAAUGUUGACUAAAUUCUUUUGUUUUUGAAAGGGUAUGAUGAAGAUAGAUCGUUACUAAUAUCGCAAAAGAGCUUAGAGAAGCGAUUUGGUCAAUCUCCUGUAUUUGUUGCUGCAACUUUCAUGGAGAUGGGAGGAAUUCCCCCCACUACCAAUCCAGCUACCCUUUUGAAGGAAGCAAUACAUGUUAUUAGCUGUGGUUAUGAGGAUAAAACCGAGUGGGGUAAAGAGGUAAUUUUACCCUUCUAGCUUCCGAUUCUUGUUAUACAUGGUCAUCGGAAAAACAAUAAUCUUCAUGUUAUUUUGUUUUGUGUACAAAUGCAAGCAGAUUGGAUGGAUUUAUGGGUCUGUGACAGAAGAUAUUUUAACUGGAUUCAAGAUGCACACAAGAGGAUGGAUCUCAAUAUAUUGCAUGCCACAACGUCCGGCUUUCAAGGGUUCUGCUCCGAUCAAUCUUUCCGAUCGUCUGAACCAGGUCCUCCGGUGGGCUUUAGGUUCAAUCGAGAUUUUACUCAGUAGACAUUGCCCCAUCUGGUAUGGGUAUAAUGGUAAAUUAAAACUCCUGGAGAGGCUCGCAUACAUAAACACCAUCGUCUAUCCCCUCACCUCCAUCCCUCUUCUAGCCUACUGUGUACUUCCGGCCGUCUGCCUUCUCACCGGAAAAUUCAUCAUCCCCGAGGUACGUUAAUCAUGCUUUAUGAGUUGUACGAUAUGCAUGAAUGUUUGUACAUGUUGAAAAUUGGGGGUUUUGCAACAGAUAAGCAACUAUGCUAGUAUGUGGUUUAUUCUUCUCUUUAUCUCCAUCGCUGCAACCGGAAUCUUGGAGCUCCGGUGGAGUGGCGUGAGUAUUGAAGACUGGUGGAGAAACGAACAGUUUUGGGUGAUAGGAGGCACGUCCGCUCAUCUAUUCGCCGUCUUCCAAGGUCUUCUCAAAGUUCUCGCCGGAAUCGACACCAAUUUCACCGUCACAUCCAAGGCAAACGACGAAGACGGUGAUUUUGCAGAACUCUAUAUAUUCAAAUGGACGGCGCUCCUCAUCCCACCCACCAGUGUUCUGAUCGUAAACCUAAUCGGCAUAGUUUCCGGCGUUUCAUCUGCAAUCAACAGCGGUUACCAGUCGUGGGGCCCACUUUUUGGGAAACUGUUUUUUGCAAUCUGGGUUAUCGUCCAUUUAUACCCGUUUCUCAAAGGUCUGUUGGGUCGGCAAAAUCGAACCCCCACCAUUGUUAUCGUGUGGUCGAUUCUGCUUGCUUCGAUUUUCUCCCUUUUGUGGGUUCGUAUCGACCCCUUUACCACAGACGAUACUCUUGAUGCAGUUAAAGGACAAUGCGGGAUCGAUUGUUAGGUAUAUAUAUAUAAAGUUUCUGAUUUGCAAAUUUGUGUAAGCCGUGAUGUGAUGCGAUGUGAUGUGUACGAAUGAUAUAAUUAUUUGAUUUAUUGUUGUUAUCCCACGAAUUCAAUGAAAAAUUUAAGUAUAACCUUAUCUUAAUAUGUCGGUUCAUUACAUUCAAUUAAGUUGAGUUGUAUGCAAAUUUCUUGUUAUUAUACAGUAUAUUACAAAAUUCAAACACUAUCUUCUUCAUAUUUAAUUUCAUGAAUUUAGUCUUCAACAAGUACAUAUAUAUAAAACAAAACAUGAAAUUCCAUACACACCAAGGUUCAUGUCAGAUCCUGAAACAAAAGAUUAAAGAAAAUAAAGUUAGAUGGUUGUAAAUUGUAACCUAAUGAAAUAUAAGAAAAGUUGGGGUUUUACUUACUCAAUAUAUUCAACGUUGAUUUUCUCCCUUUGAGACUUGGAAAUGGCAGAAAAAGCAUCAUUUGACAAAACAAUAGUCGAAGGACACGGCCUUUUGGAACAAAAAUCUACCACCUUAACAUCAAUGGUACCAUCUCUACAUGGUUUAUUAUUUCCACUCAAACACUUGAGUCUGUAUCGCCUACCACAUGCUGCACCGUUAUCCCAUAGUCCUUCGCUCACUGACACAAAUAAGUUCCCCAAUGGGAAUUGAUCUGCUCGGUUGCCAUUGCACCUUGUGGCUACAUUAAAAAUACAUAUAAAAAAAAAUACUUCAAUUUAACUAUUAUUUAUUUAUUUAUUUACAAUGUCAAAAACAUAAUAAUUAGAAUCAUAUUUAAACUUACGUGUAUAAGGAGGCUCAUAGGAUGAGGCAGUGCCAAUUUCACUCAAACCACACUUGAUGUUAUUGAAGAUUAACAAUAAAAAUAAAUUCACAAUCACUCCAAUUCCCAUCGCUACAAAUUCCCUUUUCUUUUUUCUCUCUCUCUGUCAAAUACUAUGGUAGUAAGAUGCACCCCCUUGGAUUAUAUAUAGAUAUCGUAUGGAUUUAUUUAAAAGAUAUAGGUAUAGUUUGAGAUAUAUUGUCACGUGUUUUUUAAUAGAAAUGUGCUUAGCAUGUAUAUAGAAUGAAUGAAAAGUUGGUGAUCAAAUUGGAUAAACUAUAGAUGUUUAAUGUGAUAUAUAUCUACCUUUGCGCAUGAAAAAUGGAUUUAAUAGGUUUUGGUCAAUUGUGAUAUAAAGUUCUUGAUGCCUACCACUAAUUAGUUUAAGGAAAGAUGGUUUCUAACGUAAACAUAAAACAACUUUUCUAUCGUCUCUUUUAAACAGAAAAAAUAGUCAAUUUUGACAAUGGCACAAAAAGGCAAUGGAAAAGCAUAUGUAAGGAUUAUUAGAUAAAACGAUAGUGUUUUAAUGGAGAAAAAUUAUAUUUUCGGUGAAUUUUUUUUAGUUGAUAAACCCAUUGUUGGUGUCGAAUCUAUGAAAUUAUUUUGGCUUAUACGUCGGCUGACCGAUAUGAUUACCAAAGAAAGGUGCAUCCAGUACAAUCACCACUAACUAAAACCAAUGGCUCUAAACUGUUCGCAAUUUUUUAAGGAAGGGAAAUUCAUAUUUGAAUUCGUCACUACAAAGUGUUACAUGAUUCGUUAUUAAUAAAUAUUUUAUAUUACCUUUUAUCAUAUAAAUAAACAAUCCAAAUUUUAUUUUUAGAUGCAUAUUUCACAAAGCUUUUGUGUUUUUUUCGGUUCAAGUUUGUGUUAAAGUAAUUCAAUAUAGAUGGAGAAUGUCGUUCAAUAAAAGUAGUUUGUGUUAAAGUAAUUCUAUACAGAUGGAAAAUGAUGUUCAAUAAAAGUUUAGAAUAUCAGAUAAUCAAAAUUAGUUUGUCGAUAAGAUUUAUUAUUUUAAAAGAUGGGAUAUAUAUACUAAACUCUCAAUAUUUUUAACGAUUCAACAAAAAAGUCUUAAAUUUUAUUUUUUUAGAGUAAAAUCCUAACUAGCGGCAGUUUUUGACAUGUUUACCAUUUUUUGCCAGUUAGCCAGUAAUUAUGGUUUUACUAUAAAAAAAUAAAAUUUAUGACUUUCUUUUUCAAAUCGUGAAUUAAGACAUUACUGUAAAAAAAAAUUAAAGUUUAGGACUUUCUUAUCAAAUCGUUAAAAAUAUAGGGACUUUAGUGUAUAUAUCCAUUUUUUUGUUAGAAAUUUAAUGUCAUUAUAAUCUUUAAGUAUAAGAGUUAUUGAAAUCUGACCAAUAUGCUCUGGUCAACUAGAUUCUAUUAAAAUCAUUAACGUUUGAUUCUUGUUAAAUAGUUUUUUUUUAAUCUCAACAAAUCGACAUUGAAAAAAAUAAAGAUAAUCAAGAAAGAAAGAACCACGAUUGUGUUGAAUUUUUGCAUAAUGAUAAUCAAGAAAGAAAGAACCAGUAUCGUGUUGAGUUUUUUGCAAUCCUAAAAAUGGAGAAUUAAGAAACCGGAAAAGAAGAAAUUGUCCUUCUUACACAUUCUCCACAUUCACACAUUUUUUACCGGACAUGUGUUGUUUGUGUUUGUUGAAUUUGUUCCUCUUUUCAGUUCAAGAUUUGACGGCGAACCAAGAAAAAAGUUUUACAAGUCUUCUUACCCUCUAUCGUUCUCUCUUUUGCAUCAGUUUCCCAGAUUGUGAUCGUAGCAAAGUAAGAUGAUGAUGGUAAGAAAAAACAAUGGUGUUGCAAUAAAAAUCACAAUUAAAAGUUCUUGGGAUAGGAAUUAGGUCUCAUGAGACUGAUAAAAUUAUUUGUUUCUAGGGAAACCAAACCUAUACACUAAAGUCUCAAUAUUUUUAACGAUUUAACAAAAAAGUCAUAAACUUUAUUUUUUUGACAGUAAAACCCUAAUUACCGGCUAACCGGCAAAAAAGAGUAAAUGUUUCAAAAACUGUCGAUAAUUAGGAUUUUACUGUCAAUUGAUUUUAAUAUUUUCAUGCAAAAGACAACUGUAUUACGAAAGAAAUAACUGUUAACCGUAACUACAAUAAGGUAUUAAAGUUAUAGAAGUUUCAAUCCUAAUAACGCAUAAUUUUCACUUUUGGUUUAAUAUGUUUAUAUUAUUUAUCUAAAAAACAAAAUCAUAAUAAAUAUAUUUUGAUUAAAUGUCACAGAAAAACCACGCCCAUGUCAAUUUUGAUUGUUACAAAAUGACAAUUUUUUUGAAAAGAGAUAUCAUACCGUAUUAAUAAGGUGGUGUUUGUUUUUUUUUCAAAAGCUCUUCUAGACCUUUUAUGUCUGCAUCGCGUAGACGACCCACAAACUUUUAGUCCUAUAGACUGUUUGUUUUUUAGAAGACCGUACGCAUAAAAAAAUCUGUCCAUCCUCUUCUUGACGUAGAUGUGAACAUAUGUCUUCUAGUCUCUUUCUUAAUCUUUCCACUAAUCUUAAGAGACAAUAAAAAAGCGCAAAAAGAAUAAAAAAAUGAAAAAAAAAACCUAUCAAACCUCAUUCGUGCACCUUUUUUUUUAAUUCAUUUGCCAUGUAAACACUUUGUAAAUAUAUUAUUUUAAUGAUUUUAGCUUUAUAAACUUUAUUUGGUCAAAUAAUUUUUUGGUAUUCAUAUUUUAAAAAACUUUAUGCAUAUUUAUCCGAUGACUUUUUAUAACAGUAAUUAAAAAAGUUAAAUAUACUACAAAACUUAUGAAAGUAUUUUACGAACGUGUUUUUUUUCUUCAUAAAAUGGACAAUUAAUUUGUUAUAUAUAUAUAUAUAUGCUUAUUAUAUGAUAACUAGGCUCGUGCGUGUGAACAAGUCUCCGUUUGCCACCUAGCACGGUAUCUNNNNNNNNNNNNNNNNNNNNNNNNNNNNNNNNNNNNNNNNNNNNNNNNNNNNNNNNNNNNNNNNNNNNNNNNNNNNNNNNNNNNNNNNNNNNNNNNNNNNNNNNNNNNNNNNNNNNAUAUAUAUAUAUAUAUUGAAAAUAAGGUGGUUGUAUUAUUAAAUUACAAUGUUUUUAUAUAAGAAAUAUUGAAAAAGUCUUUUAAAUUAAAAAAAAAAUCAAUUUAUUUAGGUUUUAAUUUAUUUUAGCAGUUUGUAGAUUUUAAAAAACAAACAGUCUUCUUGCAGACUGCAGACGUUUGGUCCAUAUCUUCUACUGCAGAUGUCGUCCGCAGACUGCAGACAUUUUGCUUCUGAAAAACAAACACCAUCUAAGUUUCAAACGCAUAAACAUUUAUUAACAAAAGACAUGUAAACGUGGAUUAUGAACUAAUGACAUAGAUAUACGAUAAGUACUAUAAAGAGGAAAAAGCAUAGUUAAGAUUGACCCAAAUUGUAAUGAUUAUAGUCUUGCUAAUGUAAAUAUUUAAUUAGUUUUUCUUGAUAAUCAUGAUAAAUGAUACUUUUUGACUCAUGAGUGAUGAAUAAACAAUAGUAUAUAUAGAUUUACUAAGACGAAAAAAGACAUGAGUUUUAAUGAUAGAAUAUUAUUGAAAAAAUAAUAAAGAAUAUGAUCAACUUUAAAUUAGUGCCCGGAUAAAAUCGAAGUUUUAGAAAGUGCUGAUUAGUGGCGAUCCUUCAUUUUUUUAUAACUUUAUUUCAAAUUAAUGGUAAUCAUGUAUAAUAAUUAAUAAACUUACAAUACGCUAAUAUACAUUACAAUCAUUUUCAUCCUAUGUGAAAAUAAUUUUUGACAUAUUAUUCGUUUUCAAAUUAUAUAGAUGCAUAGGCAAUAAUAUGUCUUUUAUGUGAAAUAAUGUGUGUUUUUUUUAUGUGAAAACAUGUUUUUUAUAUAUAAAAAUAUAUUUUCACAUAAAAAAAACCUGUUAUGCAAAAAACCUUUUGGACCAAAUUUAUAUAGAAACAUAUUUUUCACAUAUAAAAACCUUUUUAUAACAAAAAUGUUUUGUAAAAAAGGUUUUUAGUAUAAAUAUGAUUUUAUAAAGCAAAAAUAACAUAUUUCGAAACAAAAUUUUGGAAAAAUAUAUGUAAAAAAAACAAAAUUUAAGAUGAAAUUGUAACAAAAUUUUAAAAUAGGGACAAAAAUAUAAAAAUUGGACCAAAUUUAUAACAAAAUUUAAAAUCUGAGAAAAAAAUGUAAAUUUUAAAACUGGGAUGACCUUAUAGCCGGGAAAAAUGAUGAAAAUGAAUAUAUUUACCUGUAUUCGUAUCUUAAUUAAAAAAAUAAUAAUUUAAAUACUUAAUUGAAUAUAAGGUUAAAAAUAUAAACACUUUAUAGAUUUUCCUAUACUAAAUACUAUAGCAAAAUAUGUGGAAUUUGGUAUUUAGUAACUUUGGUCUCACUUUUGUUAAAUUUCUAUUUUCUAUCAUUUUACUUUUUGAAAAUUCGUUUUUACCUCUCGAUUUUUCUACUUAUUAACUUUGGUCCAUCACUUUUGUUAAGUUCUCAAAUUUUCAUCCUUUUUACUUUUGAAAUUGUUGCUUUUACCCCCUUUAACUUUCAACUUUCUAGAUACUCAACUCACUCAGCAUGAAGUAUAAGAAAAAAGAGAAGAGAGAGAGAGAGAGAGAGAGAGGAAGCAGCGGGCUGAAGAACCCACAUGAGACGUCUUCUGGCGGUAACCACCAAGGCGUGGAUUUGUUACCCUAGCCGUCGCACGACUCCGUGCACCCUUGGAGAGUAAUCAGUGUUAAAACACUAAGUUGCUUGAAAUAAGGAAUUUGAAGUUAAAUUGAAAAUUUAAAUGUAGAUACGAAAACACAUCAUCUUGCUAACUUGACAACUUAACGCCAUCUUAAGUGGAUACCAUAGAAUGACCCACGAGUGGCGAAUUUAAAAAAAGAAUCACAUGGUUCCUAAUUAAGUGAAGCCAAUAAAAAAAAUCAACAAUACUUUUGGAGUCGGGUCAGGUCGGCUCAUGUACCUUAAAAGAACUGAACAAGUUCAAUCGGCUCAUGUACCUUGUAACGACCCGUCUCUGGUAUGUUGUUUCCAUGUUAUUUAUUUAGAAGUUUUCAAGAGGGACUCGGGGAGUCUAUAGCCCGACUCGUCGAGUAGAGACGGGAUUUCGAGCACGUGUAAGUCGCCGACUCAACGAGUCCAUAUUCGAGACUCGGCGAGUCCGCCUGCUAGGAAGAAACCCUAAAUCCCCGGGUUUGCUCACUAUUUAAGCAAUGUUAUGUGCCCCAAACUCGCCUCCUUCACCCUCAGAGAGCUUGAGAGAAACCCUAAACCAUUCCUUGUAUGACUAAAGUGUUUUGUGUGGAUUCUUGAAGGAAAAAGAAGAAAGGACCCAAAAAGAGGAAGUGUAGAGCAAAGAUCCAAGGCCAAAGUCAGAGUUCAUUGAGGUAUGUCUCGGAAUUAUUCUGUUUUGUGCUUAAAACCUCCAUUAGAACACCUCUAAGGCUAGUUUAAUGUAUUUUCCAAGCUUUAUAGUUGUAUGGAUGCCUUGUUGGGUCGAGAUAUCCCUAGAUCUGUUCAUUUAGGAGUUUUAGAGCCCUGAUCUAGUGCCUUUUCGAAGUUUCUUUGCUUGAGAACCCUAGAUCUAGCCUUUAUUAUGCUUUUUGAGCCUUUUAAUCUUCAUGGGUGCAUAUGGGCACGUAAAGAUAGAAUCUUUACGUGUUAAUCGAGCUUAGGGAGCCCAGAUCUAUAAGUUUUAUGCGUUGGAUUCAAGCAGAAUCGAGUUUAUAGUAGCUGCAUGCAUGCGACUCGGCGAGUCGUUCUUCCGACUCGGUGAGUCGAGUCGUGAGUCCCCGAUUUUUCCUCUUUUGAGUAAUGCCGAGUGGGGACCAGUGAGUAGUAGAGUGGACUUAGUGAGCUGGAGGUCAGACUCAGUAAUGGAGGGACUCGACGAGUUGUUCAUACAACUCGGCGAGUCCAAGGCAAUCUUCUUAGCUCAAGAACAACUCGUCGAGUUGUUCAUACGACUCGGCGAGUCGGAUGCAGAUAGCUUGAGUUCUAGAAUCGAAAGGAAACUCGUCGAGUUUAUGCCAUACUCGACGAGUAGCAGCGAGUAGGGUUGAGAAGUGAGAAUAGGGACUAGGCGAGUUGGCGGCCCAACUCGGCGAGUCAGGUCAACUGUAGGUUGACUUUGACCAGGAGAGUUGACUUUGACCAGGGGUAAAAGAAUCAUUUUACCCCAAUACAGUGAUUAGUAUUUGAUUGAGUGUGUUUAUGGAAUUGUAGCCGGAGAGAUACCAGAGCAGCAGCAGAUAGCUUCCAGAGCCAUACAUUCAGCAGCCAGUUUACGAGGUGAGUUUCCUACCAGUAGGAACGGGUCUACGACAACAAUGCCGGCCCGUUUAGCUAGCAGUUAGUUCCGGACUUCGGUCCGAAGCAGUAGUUCAAGGUGCUUGAUGUUGUGUUUCGGGCAUGUCUAUGUGUUAUGUUAGCAGAUACGUGUUUAUGUUAUGCUAUGUUCAGACAGUUCCGGAUUUCGGUCCGAUGCAGCUAGUUCCGGACUCCGGUCCGAUGCAGGGGACAAGGUCCCAGUCAGUUCCGGAUUUCGGUCCGAUGCAGACAGUUUCGGACUUCGGUCCGAUGCAGUCAAUUCCAGACUUCGGUCCGAUGCAGUGGGCAAGGCCCAGUAUGUGCUUUAUUUGUUAUUGUGUGGUAUGCGGUAGUUUAGGGGAGCUCACUAAGCUUCGUGCUUACAGUUUCAGUUUUGGUUUCAGGUACUUCCGCAAGUAAAGGGAAGAACUCGGGAUGAUGCAUCGCACACACCACAACUUCAGUUUUUGUCGUGGGAGUUGAUUCAGUUUCUUAGAUAUGUUUUGAUACUGUUGUGACACAUUUUUUCUCACAGUAUUUUAUUAUGUGAUACUCAGUUUUAUGAUCUUUGUUAUAAUAUAAAUGAAAUUAUCGGGUCGUAUUUUUGGGAUGUUUCAAGUACCUUGUGCCACCGAUUAAAAAAAUUUUAAAAACCGAUUGAAAUAUAACUGAAAAAGACAUACAGCUUAACGAAAAACUAGUUGAUUAUUAGUCCAUUGAUAAAGCGGCGAACGCAGAGUGAGAGUCUUUGGCAUGUGGGCUUUCAUUUUAUUAGAACAACUUGUUUAUUUAUUAAUAUUUUGAGAGUGCCGAUUAAGAGUAGUUAACUUUUUAUUAUCAAUCUCAUAAUUUAAAAUAACAAAUUGUCCCUAAUAACUUAUAUUUUUCUCUUUUUAAAGUGGUUUUUUUUUUUAAAAAUAAAAAUAAAAAUAAACUCAAUGUAGGUUCUCUAUUUUUUUAAGACUAAAUUACACAGAUGGUCCCUGUGGUUGGCACGAGAGACCAAAGAUAGUCCUUAUGAGGAAUUUUGGACUUGUAUGGUCCCCGUGGUUCCAAAUUGUUGCACGAAGAGUCCUUAUGACAUACUCCGUUUAAUUGUUGUCGUUUAUUUAAAUCACGUAACCCUCACACGAGGGUAUUUUGGUCUUUUGCUUAUCCCUUCUCUCUCUCAUAUCUUUAUAUGAUCUGCAAAAGAUUUCCCUUCCCUAUAAAAAUUAAACCCCCAUCACUUCCUUCAUUAUUUUUCGUCUCCUCUAUUCUCUCUUCUCUCUUCUCUCUGCUGUGUCUUUCUAAGAAACUUUGCUUAAGAAUGGUAAAUUGUUUUUGUGGAACGCAAGCGGUGAUAGUGACAUCAUGGAUGGAUCUCAACCCAGGUUGUAUGUUUUGGAAAUGUCCUAGCAGUUGCGGUUUCAUUGCCUGGUUUGAUGAGCCGAUGUGUCGAAGGGUUGUGGCUGUCAUUCCAGGUUUGCUAAGAUCCAUGAACAAGCUUCAAGAAUCUCUGCUGCAAGCAAGUUUUGAAGCAAAAAAAGUGAAGAUGAUGCUAGUUUUUAGUUGGGUUUUCUUUUUCAUGUAUGUGUAUAAAAGAUGCUAAUAGUAUUAGUCUGGAGAUGAUGGUUCUUUUGCUUGUGGGUAGAUGAUGGUUCUUUUGCUUGUGGUUAGAAUCAGAUAAUAGUAUUAAUUUGAAGAUGAUUUCGUUUUGUUUGUUUGUGAUGCAAGAAAUGUUCGUAUGUAUGAAUGGAAUGCUUUUUAUUUGGGAAACUUUUAGUCUGCUACCAUUGUAAAAUAUUGGUCAGGAACUUAAUGAGUGUAAAAUAUUGGUCUGCAACUUAAUGAACCGUGCAGAUCCAUUAAAGUAUAAAAUAUGAAAGUGAAAGGUUUUUGUAGGCUUUAGACCAUUGUAGAGCCAUAACAACAUUAGAAAUGUUCAAAAAUAAAAUGCAAACUUUUGCAUAGUCAUAAAGUUCAUUACAUAACCUUAAAGUGCAAAGUCAUAAUACCAAAAAAAUAUCAAAAGAGCUUGCAGACUAAUGUAUCAUAACCAAAAGAACCAUCUUAGUCUAGCACCCUGUGUGAACCAUAAUACCAACAAAAGAUAAAGACACACAAUAACCAACUUAGUCUGACCUUUCUAAGGUACCAAAACAAACAACACAAAAGACCUUUCUAAGGUUCCAUAACAAACAACACAAAAGACAACAAAUCAAACUUUUUCCUUCAUUUUGGAUUUAUCCUUAAGUUUGGUUUUCUCCUUCAUUUUGGGUUUCUCCUUUUUUCCAUCUCCCUGCUUCUUUGCCUUGCUAAGCUUCUUGCCCCCUGCCACCACAUUUCUAACUUCAGUUUGUCCCCCUUGUCCCUUGCAACUCCUAGAGUUGUGACCCUUGUUAUUGCAUUUGCUACAAGUAACUGUAAGGAACUUCUUGGUCAAACUUUUACCUUGAUUAUUUGGUUCUUCAGUUUGAGCUCUCUUUCUCUUCUUUUUUGGUCUCCCCACCUGCAUAAUUAAUAAAUUAUAAAACAGUAUAAACGUAUACUAACUUGUAAAUUGAAAAUUAUUUACCUGUUUAGUAUGCUUAGGAGGUGUUAGUGUUAUGGGGAAAUCUGACUUUGGCCACAUACUUCUUCCAUUGAUAGGUUGAACUUUGUACUUGUACAUUUCAUUCCAUGUGCUUAACCUAUAACAUGGAUGUACCCACUCCUCAAGAGGUGGGACAUUUUUUCCCAGUGCCUGCAACUACAAUUCCUGUCCCUCCAAUUAACCACAAAUUGUUCCCCCAUUGUCCCAGUAACUUGAGUCUUAUCAGCACCAUUAAAUAUGCAAGUGUAUUGAGAAGCAUCUUUCUUAACUCCAUCUAAAAGUUUUGUGGCUGGGGGGGGGAGAGGGGCNUUAUCUAUCACAUUUUGCACAAUACAAAUUCGUUUCAUUAAGUAUUCCCUAAUAUAUUCUAAACAUGUAAUUAUAGGUUUGUCUCGAGCAUCUAACAACUUUGAGAUGAAAACUUCACAUAAAUUAUUCAACAAAAUAUCUGUAUGUGCUCUUCCUGUACAAUGCAACAAAAUAUCUUAUAAGAAUCUGUCAAAGUGUAAAUCUUCCUUGAAUCUGUCAAAGUGUCUAACUGUUGUUGCUGUUGCACAUUCCCAUAAAUGAUCUCUGUGCUCCUUCCCCCUCCAUUGUAGCUUCAUGUUUUCGUGAAUAUGUCUUAAACAGAACCUGUGUUCAGCGCUAGGUAAUAGGUUGGCAAUGGCAGAUAAAAUCCCCUAAUUAACAAGUAACAAAAAUGUUAUUUUCUAAAUGUAGUAGACAAAAUUACAAAGAUGUCAUGAACAAGUAUCAUAAGAAGAUUAACCUUUUGCCUGUCAGAAAUAAAUGUGAAGUUUGAAUUUGUAGAGAGCUCCAAAUCUUCACCUAGACACUCUAGAAACCAACUCCAUGAGCUUUUGUUCUCGGCUUCAACUAUGGCAUAUGCUAGUGGGUAGAUCCGAUUAUUGGAAUCAAGACCCACAACAGUGAGAACCUAUCCAGUGUAAGGUCCCUUCAUGAAAGCCCCAUCGAAACCUAAAAAAUCUCUUAAACCUGCCUUAAAACCCAGUUUUAAUGCACCUAAACAGACAUAAAUUCUCUUAAACAUCCUAGUUUCCAAGUCUGCAUUUGGUUCACUGUAUACAUCAAUCUUCACAAUUGUUCCUGGGUUGCACUGUUGUAAUUCUAAUACGUAAUCCCUGAGAAGGCUGUAUUGCUUUUGAUAAUCUCCAUAAACAUGUUUCUGUGCAAGUUGUUUAGCCCUAAAGACCUUCAUUCUUGACAUCCCCACCUCGUAUAUCUUUUGUAACUCUACACACAAAGCUUUGACUGGGAUAGUUGGGUUUCCUUCCACUUCUUGAAGAAUGAUGGUUGUAAGAAACUUAGGCCUCAUUUGAUAGUUGCCGAUUGAGAAAGUGCUGACUGAGAAAGGUCUGUCUGGGUAAGAAAUCCUGAUUGGGUAAGAAAUCCUGUUGUUUGAUUGUACAUCUGACUGAAUGUGCUGAGUGAUGAAAAAUGACCAUUUUACCCUGCUGUUAUAUAUAUAUAUUGAUGGAUUAAAUUGCUGAAUAAUUAUAAAAACAUACAUAUUGUCAUACAAAAUGUAAAUUACACACAAAUAAAAAAUGUCAUACAAAAUGUAAAUUAAACAUAAAUCAUUUAAUAUCCAAAUAAAAACAUAAUGAAAUUUAAAAUAACAUAAUAAUUUAAUGUAAAGUAGGUGAAAGUAGUCGAUUUGCAAUCUGAUCACGCAAAACACGCAUAUAUUCAACGGCUUCUGGACCCCAUUCUAUGCCUUGUAUGUUUUCUCUAUCAAUUCCCCCACCUUGGACGUCAGGAGUAACCAUAGUGUCCUCCUCAAAAUUUCUAAACAAGUCAUCUUCUAUAUUGUAUUUCCUUAUAAAAUUAUGGACCGCGACACAAGCAAUGACUAUGUCUCUUUGCACUGUAAAAGGAUAAGGAGCCAUUUGUUUUAAGAUUGGGAAUCUCGCCUUCAAUACACCAUAAGCACGCUCAAUAACAUUUCUAAGUUGUGCAUGAGCAUGAUUGAACCUUUCUUCUCUAGUUAAAGGUCUGCCUCUUCGAAAAUCGGCUAACCAAUACCUAGUAUUGCGGUAUGGAGCCAUAAACCCACGAGUGUUUGUAUAUGCGGCAUCACAAAGGUAAUAUUUAUCUGCAAACGAAUGUGACAUAUUAUAUAAUGACACAUAUUAUAUAAAGAAGAUAGAUAAUAAAAAUUAUAUAAAGAUUACAAACCUGGUGGAGGAAAUGGAAAUCCAGAAGUCGAAUUGAAUGCAACUUCUUUCAAAACUCUUGAAUCAUGUGCUAUACCCUCCCAUCCAGCCCAAACAAAGGUGAAUAUCAUAUCAAAAUCACAAAUUCCUAUUACAUUUUGAAAACAUUCUCCUUUUCCUCUUCCUCAAUAACGAGUUUGUUGAUCAACAGGUACAACCGCACGUACAAGAGUUCCAUCUAAUGCACCAAUUGCUCCGGAAAAAAUAUUUUUUAACCGUCUAUGUCGUUCUGAGUUAUGUCUUGUUGGGUUAGGAGUUGUUGGUACUAUAAUUUCUUUUGCAAAACACAUCAUUGCUGUUAGGACCUCGUGAAAACAUUGAUGAAUCGUUUGUGUGGAGUGAUGAAAUCUUCCCUUAACCGCGCGAAAACGUUCAUUAUGUCCUAUAACAUGUAAGAAGAUAGCCAUCUUCUCUUCAAUGCUUAUUGUCCUACUAGCUUGCAACCAAUUUUUUUGGGUAAAAUGGUUGCAUAGUAAUGCAAAUGCCUCUUGUGUAAGACGCAUCAUAUCGAAACAUUGUGUAGGGUCUCCGUAUAUCAAAUCUUAUGUAUACGCAUACCCGCUUGAAUCGUUAUCUCUAAUUCUAAGAAUUCUGAUUAGUCUGCGCCGGUUUGACCUCAACCAAUAAAACACAAGUAAAAGAAAAGCUACAACUUCACCAUCAGAAACCAUACUUGAUCUAUUACAAACAAUUAGGUAAUAUGUUAAAGUAAAAAAAAAAUCAUGCACCAAAAAAAUUAGUAAACAUCAUUAAAAGUAACAAAAGUCGUAUAACAAACGUUGUAUAACAAAAUACUAGUAAACAUCAUCCAAAAAAGUCAUCAAACUAUAUAACAGUAAACCAAAAAGUCAUCAAACAUAGGAUCCAAAAAACUAGUAAACAUCAUCCAAAAAAAGUCAUCAAACAUAGGAUCCAAAAAACUAGUAAACAUCAUAAAAAAAACUAGUAUCCAAACUUUUCUACCCGCACCUAUCAAAGGUAACUAUACUUCCUACCCGCACCCAUCACCCACGACUCACAACUACUAUGCGAAAGUCGUAACCAAACUUUUCGAACAUCAGCACUUUCACCAAAUAGCAAAAGAGCGGUCUUGUGUCUUUCAUCUUCUUCUCCCCAUUCCAUUUUGUUCAAUUUCUCCAUACACGCAUCAACAUCCUUAUCCAUUUCACUUUUUUCAAUUCUUUCAUUUUUUUUCCACUAAUAACCUUACAAUCUUGACAAUCUCCUCUUCAACUUCUAAUGCCCUUGCAUCUCUUUUUUUUCCACCAACUCUUUUGUUUCCACCAACUUCCUUAUUUUUGAACGCCCCGAAGAUUCUUCACUUGCACCUACGUGUUGUGUUGAGGUUUCCAUUAGAACAUCAUCAUCAAAAUCAUGGGGACUAAACUCUUCUACAGGACAAGGGAGUGUAGAAGAUGGCCCCCAACUUUGAGAUCCGGUUGAUGUCAACCCUUCAAAUAGUUGGGUGCAAAGAUCAGGGAACAAUAGGGGUUUAGUUUUCAAUGACAACACGAACUUGUUCAACUGUUUACAAUUUUUAUAAAUAUUAGUAUAUGUUAUAAAAAUAAUCAUAAUAGUAUUGAUUAAAAAAAUAAAUUUAAUCAAAUAGUAUAUGUUAUAAAAAUAAUCAUAAUAGUAUUGAUUAAAAAAAUAUUACCUUCCCCUCUUCUUUCCAUUGUUCAUCGGUCAAAUUAAAUUUAUUUUUUAUAGGAUCAUAUAUAUUGCCGGUUUUGUUUUUGAGUUUCACCCAAGCAACAUACUUUGAUUUGUAGUAGUCAAAGUGGUUUCUCAUUUGCUUCUGAUCAACCUCUUUACCGUGUUCGUUUAUCAAUUUUUCGCGUAUUGUCUUCCAUGAACUUGCCUUAAGCCCAGAACCCUCACGACCAUUAGUGGUUAGUUCAUGGAUACAUGCAUCAAGAAAAGUUUUGUCCUCACUCUCGUUCCAAACCAACAUCCUAAAACAUUAAUAUUUAAAGUAAUUUAUCAUAGUUUUUAUCAAGUUAAAGAACAAUUUUAAACAUAAAGCAAUUUUCAACCAAGGAAGUUAACAUCAUCCUAAAUUAUGAUUUGAUAACUUAUACACAAACAAUUUCAGAUGUCACAAAACAUCAAUAUUCAAGCUAACAAUUUCACAAAAGAUAACAAGCUAACAAUUAAGGUCAACAAUAUCAAAGCUAUAAAAUUAGAAAGAAAAAAAAAACAGCCCAAUUUUUGAUUUUAUAGCUUAUACUUUUGAUACUAAUACAAGCUCAAUAAUUGGAAGACAUGUGAUGUUGCAUGCAUUCCCCCUCUCGCCCACUCUUCAAGGAACAAUUGGAUUAUUAAAAAAGUUAGGUUACCAUUAAUCUUAUAAUAAUUAUUUAUUAUUAAUUUUACUUUUGUACUUUACACAUAAAAACACAACNAAAACCAAAAAAAUAAAAAAAAAAAAAAAAAAAAAAAAACAGCCCAAUUUUUGAUUUACAAACCUACUUGUAUUUUCCAAUUCACAUUCAAUUUCAAUUCACAAGCUAUAAAAUCAAAAUUCAAAAAAAAAACCUUCCAAUUCACUUUCAAUUUCAAUUCAUAAGCUAUAAAAUAUGAACCGGAGAAAAAAACUUCCAAUGUGAAUUGGAGAAAAAAACUUCAAAUUCAGAAAAAAAAACAAAAAAACAAAAACAAAAAACAACUACCAAUUCACAUUCUAUUUUAGAAUUCAUAACAUUAGAAAAAAAAACCUUCAAUUUUCAGUUCUUAUACACAAAGAACUACAAAACAAAACAUAAACAAACUUCCAAUUCACAUAUAAUUUCGAAAUUCAUAUAUUAGAACAAACAAUUUCAGAUUUCAGUUCUUGUACACAAAGAACUACAAAAAAGAACAAAAAAAGCUUAUCAUAUGAACAUACAGGUUGAGAAUUCAUAAUAUUCUAACAUAUACUAAUUUGAUUUCAUAAAGAACUACAAAUUUCAUACCAUCAAAGCAUAAAUGGUAUCUGAUUUUGAAAAUUAUUAACAGAAAAAUUAUCUAACCUGUGUGAUGGAUCGAGAAGGCGUCACUGAUGGCGGUGGCGGAGGUCCGACGAGAUGGCACAGGUCCGACUGGUCGGACUGUUUGGCGUUCAAUGUUGUGGAGUUCUUCCUAGCGGCUGCUGUGCUUUUAGGUCACUAGAAGGGAAGCGAAUGGGGAAAGAAAUAAUAACGACGCAGGGGCAAGAUAAGGGCAAGAUUGUCUAAUUUCCAGUCAGCAACUGUUUAAAAACUGAUCCAGAAAGCGAUUUGGGUCAGCAGAUCUUACCGAGAAAGCUCAAAUCAAACACCAAAGGUCUGACCGAGUCAGCCCAAUUUGCUGACUCGACCCAGUCAGACAUUUAUCAAACACUCCCUUAGAAGUGCACUCUUUAAUAGACCUUGACUGCACACAUCUAUGCUCAUGAACCAAAGUUUUCACCAUCCAAUCGCUUUCUUCAUCAGAUCUAGAAAUUAAUACCACCCAAGGGCAUGUUGCUUUUUGUGAGCUGACUGUUUUAUCCUUGCAUUUGAUUCUACUUUUUGUCCAUGGCCCACCUGUCAUUUUCGGGACCACACCCCUGCAUUUUGCCCUAAUUCUUUUUUUUUUAUCAUUUUUUGAAAAGUAAAUGUUUCUCCUAGUUCGAAUUGAAUGCAUUUUAAUGUAGUCCUUCACUUCUGAUGAGGACUUAAAUAUUUGACCCAGAUGGAAUGCAGUUUCAUGUACUACUCCUGAUGAACAUGUGGUUGGUUUGUUUAACCUUCUCAUUAAUUUCUUCCUCUCAUCUUCUUCUACACCAGUUGAUUCAAAUAAUUGUGUAUCUAUCACCUCCAAAUCCUCAUCAACUGUGACAUCAGGUGCAUUGAAUGAUUGGUGGUUAUCUAGAUUUGGAAAAGAAUAAACACCACUGUGGAAGUCUUUCAUAUUCACUUCGACAUCCUCCACCAUAUUAAGUUCAUCCACUAAAAAGUCACUAUCGUCGCUUAUACUUCCAUCGGUACUAGUCUCAUCACUAAUAACAUCUCCAAUUUCUUCAUUUUCCCCCAUCUGUUGGUAAUCAUUAUGAUCCAUAUAAAAGAAAGGAUCAAAGUCUUCUGAAGGGACAACAUCUUGGGCUUUGUUAAGCUCCUCACUUGCAGGAUGAACUCGAACAUCUUUCACUACAUCUCUAUCAAAAUGUCCAAAAGGUACAACAGACCUAGAAAAGUCAUAGUUCUCAUUCAAGUCCAUUUUUCUACUACAUGAUCCUACCUUUGUACUUGUAAACUUUUUUCGAUUGAGUUCCGGAGAAAUAGGCUCAUUGAUUUCUUCCGAUACGACCUUAUUUGGAGAUAUAAAGUAUGCAUGGAGUCUAGUAGUUCCAUGUUCAGUAUACACCAUAAUCUCUUUAUGAUUAGCAACAUGCUUACUUAACAAAAGUACGUCUGAGUUGUUACCUAAAGGAAGUAACCCAUAAUCGAUUUCAAUCUCAGGAAUCAAGAAGUGGUAGUAGAUAGGCUCACCGUUGAUAUAACCUAUCUCCUUCAUCAUAUCGUCUAACUCAUGUACGGAAAACACGUCCAUGUCUACGUAGUCAACAUAGUCAAUACUCCCACCAACGUAACGUCUUCCUGGGUAUUUUGUGAACAUACCCCCAUGGUGAAUCUUGAAUGUGCAAAAACUACUUAACUCAACUGAAAAACAAAUAAAUAAUGAUAUGAGGAAAGAAUGAAGUCUCAAAAUUGAAUGUGCAUAAAUUACUUAACAAAAUUGAAAGUUGUUAACUGAUCACUCACCAUAAGCUUUGAUCAGGUCAGGAUUUUCUGAGAAUUUUGAACGGACAUUCCACAAAGUUAGAACGAUCGCAAAAGAUGAAAAUGAAAACCCUAGUUUCCGUUUGAUGUUUUGAAGUGAUGAAGAUGAAAAACCAGAGGAGAAAAGAAAGGGAUGAUUUCUUGGGGUAAUGUAAAUGGCAGCUAGAUGUAAGGAUCAUUUAUGAAUAUGAUCAUUUCGUGUAACAAAGCAAAAGACCAAAAUACCCUCGUGUGAGGGUCACGUGAUUUAGAUAAACGGAAACAAUUAAACGGAGUAUGUCAUAAGGACUAUUCGUGCAACAAUUUGGAACCAUAGGGACCAUACUCGUCCAAAAUUCCUCAUAAGGACUAUCUUUGGUCUCUUGUGCCAACCACAGGGACCAUCUGUGUAAUUUUGUCUUUUUUUAAAGAUAGUUCAUAAUUUUUCUAUUAUAUACAUUGUAAAUGAAAUUGAGAACUUAAGUAGGUCCUAGGACCUACCUAAGCACAUGGUGGAUACGCCCCUGUUACCCACACUAACCUCAUACACUUACAACACAAAUGAACUUGAACGGUCUAAGACCAAACCAAGAUAUAAUAUGAAAUGUGUAAGUAUAGUUUAAUAGAUGAAAGUGAGGUGUUGUUUGGGCUUGAAAAGUAGGGGUGAGCAUGGUGCGAUUUUUUGAGAAAACCGAACCGCAAACCGCAAGAUGCGGUUUCUAUAGGGUAAAACCGAUAGGUGUGGUUUUUGUUUCGGCGUGGUUUUACAUGCAUUUUCGGUGUCAUUCGAUGCGGUUUCGGUUUUUAACUGAAAAUAUGUGUUGGUGUGAUUUUUCAUACAUGUGUUGAUCUACCAAAGAAGUAAUAACCCCUAAAGAAGCUAGAGCAAGGCCUAAUUGAAAAUGAAGCCAAUUAUUAAUUGUGUCAUAAAGACCCUCAUGCCCACGUCUCAAUCGCCCUCUUGGAGGGAUAUGUGCAUCUAAAAGAUCUUUCAUACUGUGCCCAAUCCCAAAAUUAGUUCUAUACAUAUGCCCAACAAUAAGAAAAAGAAAUGCAAUAGCUAAAUAAUGAUGAGUCAUAUCAGCAUGUCCAAACCCGACUUUUCAGUUAACUUUCCUUUAUUUCCGGUACAGAUUCUCAUUUAAAUGUAUUUAACAUGCUUGUGAAAUAGUUAUAUGUUAUUCUUAUCAAAAUAUAGACUUCUUUAUGAUAUUACGAUUUUGAGAUUUGAAUUAUAUGUUUGAUGCAACAAGGGAUUUGGUUUUAUAAUCUCAAAUUCCAUUACUUAAUCAUUAUUGUUUAUACAGAUAGAGGCGGCUUUUGAUUCGAAUUGCAUUUUGCUUGUGAUAAGCAAAAGGAAAAUUGUUAAUGGUACGCACUUUGAUACAAAUGUCAAAUUUUAUAAAAAUAUAGCAAAACAUAAGGCAUGCACAGUGGCAAAAAGAACUGAAGAGGUCGAAGUUGAACAAAAUAUACUUUUAUUAAUAAGUAUUAUAAUAUAUUAAAUAUUGUCAGGUUUUUAUGGUGCUGUUUGGCAUUGUCCAAACCGCACCACACCGAAAAAUUACCAAUUAAGGUUGGAUUGGAAUGCAUAAUUAUCAAUUUAUCCUUAAUAAGUCAUAAAUCAACAAAAAUGGCCCAACAAUUUUCUUAAUCUUAAUUGUUGCCUUUGGAUUAGAAAUCAUCAACGAUCAAGAUUGGUUCUCACAAUUCUCUAAUCUCUACUUUUAUGUUGUUUUCAUUUGAACUCAACCCAAAAAUCUCACCAGUAAUCACCACACGAACAAAUCCCGUUCUUGAAAUGAUGAAACCUAUUUGUAUCCCGAAGAAUAAUUUCCCGCUCAACAAUCUUGGAAAUAAGCUUAGCAGCAAUAUGACAAUCCUCACAAACACGUAGAUUUUUAGUAAUCCGUAUAGGCGUAAAAGCUUUAGUAUUUAUAAUCACAAACACAAUAGCAAGCUUCUCACUAUGAACAGCAAGAUGAUUUCCUUUAUCUUCAUCUUCUAUAUCAUGAAGUGCAGAAUCCACUUCAGGAACAUACCCAAAAUCCCUCAUCUUCCCCACAAGUACUUCCAACUCUUGAUAAAUCUGUUUAGAUUGUGGAUGGGAUUGAUCUCCAGCAAGAAACGAAUGAACUUGAUUAUUAAGCUCAACAUUACUAACACCGGGCUCUUUUUUCACUCCUUUUGAUUUCAUUAUUGAACGAAUAUUUGUCACAUCUUUAAAUCUACCUGCUUUUGCGUAUAUAUUUGAUAAUAAAACAUAAUACCCUGCUUGUUCAGGGACCAAUUCAAAGAGAUGAUCUGCUGCUACAAGACCAAUUUCCAUGUUGGAAUGAACUUUACAAGCACUUAACAAAGCACCCCAGAUUCUAUCGUUUGGUUUUGUUUUCAUUUUCUUUAUAAAAUCAUAAGCUUCAUUGAUUCUUCCUGAUCUUCCUAGCAAAUCAACCAUGCACGCCAAGUGUUCGAGUCUUGGAAUGAUGUUAUACUCUUCGGUCAUCAAUUUGAAGAAAUGUUUUCCUUGGUUUAGUAAUCCGGCAUGGCUGCAGGCUGAUAGAACUGGAACGAAGGAAAUGGAAUCAGGGGCGAUUCCGGAAUUUUGCAUAUUUGAAAAGACUGUGAUAGCAGUUUCACCAUCUCCAGUCAUGCCAUAAGCAGAGACCAUGGAAGUCCAGGAGACGACAUCUCUUGUUGGCAUUUCAUCGAACACCUUGCGUGCUUCGUUUAAAGACCCACAUUUAGCAUACAUGUCAAUCAAGGCGUUCUCUACUGUUAGAUUAGGAAGAAGCCUUUUUGUUUUUACAUAUGAAUGAAUCUUUCUUCCUAGUAAUAAAGCUGAAAGAUCUCCACAAGCGGGUAGGAUGCUAGCAACUGUGAUUGAAUCCGGGUCGAUUCCGUAAUUCUCCAUUUGUUGAUAAAGAUUAACUGCAUCUUUAGGCAUCGAGUUGUUGACGUACACAGCUAUCAUGACAUUCCAAGAAAUUAAACUCUCUCGAGCGUGAUUCAUGAACAUUUCUUUCAUAAACAUCACGUUGGUAGAUGAAGUAGAAGUUGUUAAAGCAGGGGAAAGGCUGGCCAUGGUGCCUGCGUUGGGUUUUGAGGUAGAACAUUGCAUCAUUGUCUUACAAAUCUCCAAUGCAUCUUCAAACAUCCGGUUUUGGGCGUAGGCAGCAACCAUAGCAUUCCAGGAGACGAUAUCUCUACUAGGCAUUUCAUCAAACACCUGGCGUCCUUCCAGUAACCGGUUACAUUUUCCAUACAUUGUAAUCAAUCCAUUCCCUACAUAAAGAUUUGAAUGCAGACCCUUCUUGAGAACAGCAACAUGGGUUUGUAAUCCGACCCACAAAUUCUCAGACACGGAACAUGCUUUUAGAACUUGAGGAACUGUAAAAUGAUCAGGGUUAAUGUUGAACUUGAACAUGUUUCUGUACAUACGAAGUGCUUUUUCGUAGAAUUCAUUGUUUACGUAGCUUCUAAUCAUCACAUUGAAGAAGACUACAUCUUUUUGAGGAAAUUCAUCAAACAGUUGGCGGGUAACUGCGAUUUGGCGACAUUCAGAAUAAGCUUUCAUUAAUUUCAGAGCAAUAUGCGAUGCUGAGACGAGGUUUCCAUCAAUAAUUAACCUACAAUGUAUCUUUUUCAAUUGUUUGAUAUCUGGGCACUUGUCCAAGAUUUUGAUACACAAGUCUUCUGUGAUUAACAUGAUUGUUAAGGCGAGAUUUGAAUGAAUUUGAACUUAUAUUCCUUUCGCCAUGUUGUACCUGAGGGGCAAUCAAAUAGAAUGGACGAAGAUAACGAAGGUUUACUUGGUGGUGUUCACUUAAAAACAAGAAAUAUGAAGUUCUAAACGCUAUUUCUUGUUAAACAGAAAAUAUUUUGUCCAAUCUAAAAAUCCAAUUUUUGAGUAAGUUCAAGCUUAAGCUCAAAAAUAGUAAGCAAAACAUGUUUAAAAAAUAAAAGUUCGUUUGAAACUCUUUGGAUAGCUCGAGUAUAACAAUCAUCAUAAUUAUAGUCAAUAAAUCAGGCUCAAACAACCAAACUUGAUGUCCAGCCCUUGAUCAUCCAAUUGCCAACUGAAAUCAACUUAGUUUCCGGUUUUAGAAUCGCCCUAACAUUACAUAAGCACCAACUAGUUCCAAAAGUAGUUUUUAAUUCAAUGUCUCCCAUACCCGUGACUUCAAGGGUUUCCAUGUUACCCAACCUUACCAACUUAAGAUAAGUUCUUUACUUCAAUUACUAUAACAGAUCGAUGAGUCAUGUUCUAAUGACCUCUCGUCAUAUGAUGCAAUGCUUAGACUCGAGUCUUUUAAAGUCAAAUUCUAUAAUGAAAUAUACAUUCCUUCAAGUUUCUAAUGUGAUAUAAUCACAUUCUAGCAUGUAUCACUUCUAGCUACAAGCUUCUUACUUUAACAACAAUCACAAUACUUCUAUUGAUCGCUUUGAUUAUCUUUCAGUUCAAUCUUCUGGCUUAAGUCAGAUGCUACAUCGAUCUUGGUUCUCUGAACCACGUACAAUACUUAUCCUAGCUGUAAUCGAUUUGAUAUGACCACUAGGGUCGGAAUAACAAUCAUCUUCUUAGUCAUUACCGAAAUUAUGGUAAUGACACAUGAACAAAACAGAAUCAAUUACUAGCGUCUUGGUAACUCGUGACUUUCCCUGAUCCAAGUGCGAGUCGUGUGCUUCCAGUAGUAUAUGCCUCUACUACCUUUCACACCUACUCAUACUUGUCCCAAGUAUUGUCUUUCAGUUCUCCAAGUCACCAUAAAAGAAUUUCACAUAGUCAUUUAACACAUCGAAUAACAAAACUAAGGUUUAUAUUAUUUCUUGAAACGAUUACAUAGAUAUUCAAGUUCACCUUAUACCAUGCCUUUUAUAUUAGGCUACACCACAUGAUACUAUCUAUAUGGCUACUUUAUAUCUCGAUCUUCAGAUAUAUAUAGAUCCCUACUCCUAAUCCCUUGUAUCGUCACCUGCUUCAUCCAGGUUAGACUUCGAGAAUCUUCCUUUCUUAUCGAAUCUUGAGGAUCCCUCAAGCUUCUUCUUUUCUCAUGCCUUGUCUUAUUCCAGACCCUUUUUCCUAAAUUAGGUUUCCAUAUUCUUGGUUGCUCUAACGGUUGUCUUCAAAGUAGUUGCCAUUUUUACCAUUGCGCCAAAUUAUGCUGGCAAUCCGUUAGCAAAACUAUCUAUCUUGGAGAGUUCAGUAGCACCAAGUAGGGGAAUAACUUCAUCUGCUCGGUGAAUACGGUGACAUACUCAUCAACACUCAUCUUCCUUUUCUUCAAGUUCGAAACUCGUUGUUUAGGUCUAUCAGAUCUAUCUCUGAGCAGUAUUGCAUUUUCAACUGCUCCAUGAAUGCUUCCCACCUCAGGGCUUCUCCCCCAUGGCUUUGUAUCUGCCAAUAACUUCCACCAACUUAAAACUCUGGUCUUUAGUUGUCUGACUGUAAAGACGGUUUUCUGCUUGUUGCUGCAAUUGCAACUUUCAAAUGUCAUCUCUAUCUCGGAGAUCCAAUCCAUGAUCUCUACUGGCUUCGGGCUUCCAGAAAGACUUGGUGGUUUGGCACCUAAGAAGUUCUUAUACAUACGUUCAUCCUUAUCAAUCGCUUUUUUCGGGUCGUUCCUCCUUGCCACUCGGGGUUCAGCUUGACUCACUGUACGACUGUAAUUUCCCUCCUCCGACAAUUCUUCAUUCAGUUCGGGUUGCACGAUAGGCACAAUAGGUUCAUCCCUAUUAUCAAGAAACAUUUUUCUCAUCUCCUCCCUUUGUUCGGCCAUCAUAGCCCAAAUCAUUGCUUAGACUCUUGCCAUCGUGAUUGGCUCGGGUGCAGCUACUACCUCUGGUGCACAUUUAAUCACUCGUGGUUCAGGCUGUUAGUUUUCAUUAGCAUUUUCUAAUAUGUUGCGAGUUCUCACCAUUUCGAUCUAUACACUCUAGAGAUGUUCAGUGUACAGUGACGAGAAUUAAGAUAUGGAAAGCUUUAUUUACGACAGCCAUAUAAAUCUUCUUAUCACUCGUAAAAGUUAUAUACUAGUUCUAAUACCGUAAUUAAAUGUUUGGAAAUUUUGAGCAAAUGACGGUUCAUCAACAAUAGAGCGAAUCUCAUUUAGGAAUUCGUUGAUAGGUCGAUUUCCUUUAGGAUUUUUAGCAAGUUUGGAUUUUAAAGAGAUGAUUCUUGAGCAGGAGGUGCUGGCAUAGCUUGUGUUGAGAUGCUUUCAUGCUUCUUUUGUGGUAAAUACAGAGGUAAUGAUAGGUUGAAUGAAUUGCAUCUGAGCAUGAACCAAGAAUUGCAUCGAAUACUACAUGAUCUUGGCGAUAGCAAGUCGUGUAUUCAUGAUUAGGUUUGGAUUUGUCUUUGUCGAUAAUGAAUUUUGUGGUAGGAUCAGUCACCCAUGUGAUGUAAUCUUCCAGACCUAGUCCAAUAAAUGUGGACUGCACUUGUCGCCUCCAUACAUGGAAGUUGUUGGUGAGUAAUUUGGUAGGAAAGUGACUUGAGGCGGUGAUUUGUAUUUGGGAUGAUUGUGUCAUGGUGAUGUUGAUGAAAAGGAUUAGAGGAGAAAGGCAAGAUGAUCGAUUGACUCUUUAGAGUGUGUGUGCUCUGAUACGAUAUGAGAUUUGAGAAUCAAUGGGCUCGAAUGAAUAAUUUCAUUUACAAAGAUCGAUACAUAUAUAGAUGGUAACGAGAGUUAAAGAGCUAUACAUGGAAUUUACUAAGAAUAGAUUGCAAUUACAUACAAAUAGAAGAGAUUAUUGUAGAUUAGUCAUGAAGAUGUGUACGAUGUUAUAGUUAGAUUGCUUAUUUGCAAUCCAUGUUAGCUAAGUAUGUCAUGUUGAAUACAAAUUGUAUUAAAACAUUAAAGUUCCAACCAUUAUAUGUUGAAGAAGAAGCAAAUACGCCUUAGUCACACCCAUUCUAAAUGAUAUGGAUGUUAUGGUUGUCGUUUCUAUGCAACCAAAUCGUGAUUCCAAGUUGCAGUUGUCUUACCAAUAUAUCAUGUUAGGAAAAGAUGACAUAGCAUGAAAUAUUGUAUGUUACAACAAAAAGAUAUAUCUUAUAGAUGUCUUGCACAUGGGUUAUUCCUUUUUAAGCACUUAUAUAAAAAUAAUAUCACGUAUGUAUGAUAUCUAUUUUGAGAGAUUUUUAGCAAGCAACUCUUUGUCUAUUAUUGUUAUUGGAUAGAAAAAGUAUCAUCUUCGUUGGGAAGAUUUUACUAGGAUUAGAUUCAUAAUAGUUUGUCAAAGAUUUUACUAUUAUGUAUUUAUAAACCCAUGAAGUUUUCUAUUAAAUAAAUAAAUAAAUAACCAUUCACCAUUUAUAUCUUUUUGGAAUAGAGUUUGUUAAAUUCUAAUAUAAAUAAAAAGAGUAUUUAUUUAGAUUCACACAUUACAAAAUUACAAACUCCAAGCAUAAAUCCGAAACUUAUUUUUAAACUUCUUCAUUUAUAUUACAAGUUUUAUUCUUUUUUCCCAACCCACUUGGGGUUUCGAAACCCUAAAAAAGUUCUAUCCAUGGAAGUUCAUAUUUAUUUCUUAUCUUAAUGAAUUUAAGGUCUAAAUCAAUAAAUGGCAAUGUAGAAUUAACCGCAUAUAUUAAGUUAUUUUUGGAAGCUUUCCAACACAACACAGAAAGGAAAUGAUGAGAAUUUAUGGUACCAAAUAACAAAAUAAUCCCGGUUCCUAUAAAAAUUUAUUAAAGCUCUACUCAUGAUUUCAUAAUCUCCUCUAAUAUGAGGGUUACGUUAUUGUAAUAAUAACUAUGAUAAUGUAAAAGCCAUAACAUAAAUCGUCUUAAUUUAAGAAAUAAUAUAAAUCCCAAGAUAUUGUUUUUAAAAUAAAAAGGAAAAAAGUGGGAGUCCAUUAGAAGGAGCCAAGCUGAUUAUUUGAGCCAAGAGAGCACCGAUUUGUUAUCCUUCCACUGUUCGAAGCGAGAGGUUAUCGCAGCUCUGUGAAGCCAGCCUAACGCAUUGCCCUCUGCUCUAGGAACCAAGAAGCCCAAGCCUUCGCUCAAGCCACUUGAUCCAACUCCGAACUUGGAACGGGCAAACCAGAUUUUGCAACAGCUUUGACCCAACCAAACAAGGCUCGAUCUCAGUCCAUCCCACUUUAGAGCCCUCACUUGAGUCACAAGCUCGCGUUACCAAGCUCGGCGAUAAACGAAGUCCAUUUGAUGUAUAAAUAAUCGGAAAAACUUUCUCCUCCAAGCGAUGUGGGAUGCGAAACGAAAUAUUUUCAUCUUCAUUCUCUCUUUAUCUCUGUCAAAUACUGUGAUUACUGAUUACUGACUACUUAAACACCCAUGCAACGGAUUUCAAGUAUUUUUUUCAAUCCAUGGAUUUAGAACUGUAAACU
rnacentral:lncRNA from 1 species